rnacentral:lncRNA from 1 species
CCGGCCGCAGGGUUAAGGCAUACAACAACUGCUUGUUUCACAAUGUCCAGCGCAAUUUCAUCGUGCAAACCGGUGACCCGACCGGGACCGGCAAGGGUGGCACGUCCAUUUACGGGUGAGCUUGACGCUCCCCCCCGCCCCCAACACCGCCGGCAGCAGUGCCGAUGUCAUCGGUAGCCUGCCGCAGCUCCCCGACACACAGUACGUUUGCGAAUGACUACCGCCUGUCCGCCUUCCCACAAUAUCGCCCCGCCCCGCCCUGUGCCCCGUGCCCCUCUCCCCCCCUCCCCCGCCCCCUCCCCACCCCACAAAACAGCAAGAUGUACGGCGACCAGGCGCGCUUCUUUGAUGACGAGCUGCGCCCGCACCUGAAGCACAAGCGGCGGGGGGUGGUGGGCAUGGCCAGCCCGGGCGAGGGACUCAACGCCAGUCAGUUCUACAUCACCACGGGCGAGGAGCUGGACAGCCUGGAUGGCAAGCACACCGUGUUCGGGCAGGUGCGCGUAUGUGUGCUAGGAAAGCGCAAGGGAGAGCGCUGACAUGCUGCACCUGUGUAUAUGGUGGGAUGGCGGGUUCAACACCCAUGUGACUGCACUCUGUGGCUCACGCGGGGGGGCGGUCGGGGGGGUUCAAGGGAAAAAGGGGCACACUUGACAAAUGCCGGAAAACGGGAUUGGGAGCUGCGGAGGGGUGUGGCUGGCUGGGCGCUGUGGACGGCAGGCAGGCCGGUAGGCGGGGCUGUAGCUCAGGCGGAGGGGGGCCGUGUGGGCCGUGCGGGCAUGUGGGCACAAACUGCAGGGAUCCAUCGCGGGGCUCCUGCUGCCGCUGCGCACAUUACCUUCCUUACCUUCCUUACCGCCCGCCAGCCCACUUCCCCCUCUCCUCGUGCACCUGCCCCCCGCGGCCGCGCGCCUUCCUGACCCUGUGCCCACCUGGCCACUGCCCCCCGCCCCGCCCAUACCCGCCCCCUCCACACACGCCCCACCACCAUCAUUCCCAAGGUGGCUGAGGGCUGGGACGUGCUGGACUCCAUCAACGAGGCGUUUGUGGACAGCGACGGCCGGCCCUUCCAGAAUAUCCGGUGCGGGGGUGGGGGCUAGCGGCAACAUGGAGUUAGUCGGGCUUAUUCCACGAUUCCAUGUAAGCAACCAAGGGACAACGAAAUGGGGGGUUGGGAGGAGACUGGAGAACUGGGGAUGUGGCUCGUGCUUGAAAGGCACAAAGAGACAUGAGUGGACACAGUGCCGCAUUGGGGAUGGUUCCAGCACAACCCUUCCGCGCACACAAGUACGUGCGCAUAUCGCAUGCAAGGUAUCGACCCCUUCCUCGCCUGACCAAACUUCACACACACGCGCCCAUGCAGCAUCCGGCACACCAUCGUGUUGGACGACCCAUUCCCCGACCCACCCGAACUGGAGGCGCUCAUCCCGCCCGCCUCGCCGCCGCCCGAAUUCGGAGAGGUGAGAGCCGCGGCUGCACCGCGGGGCGGCAUACUGGCGGCAAAUGCCUCCCGCAUCCUUGUGUCCUUGGUUCCGUGCUAGAAAUGGUAGAAGCAACCAUCCCCAUCCCCGCCACUACCACCCUGCUACCCCAUCCCACCCUGCUAAAACCGUGCUAACCCUGCACUGCCACUCCCCUACGACUUCACCUCUGAAGGUAUCACGAAUGCAACCCGCACCACCACCACCACCACCACCACCACCACCACCACCACCACCACCACCACCACCCACACACAUACACACACACACACACACACACACACACACACACACACACACACACACAGGGCGACCGGCUGGAGGACGACUGGGUGCCUCAUGAGGACACGCGGCCCGCGGAGGAGGUGGAGGCGGAGAGCCGCCGCGCCGAGGCGCACCACCGCGCCGUGGUGCUGGAGAUGGUGGGGGACCUGCCGGACGCAGGUGCGGGCAGAGGGAAGGCAGGGAGGGAAGGAGAGAGGGAGGCAGGGUUUAGGAGGGGAAUCUGGUGGUGUGGAGAGAUGCUCGUGGGCCUGGACUCGAGCGAGCUGGUUGUAGGUACGUGGUUCCCCAAGGGCUCCCUCGUGUGGUGGCGGUGGGGCCCUGGGCGACCAGCUCCCAGAAAACACGCAAAGACGCAAGGCUGGCCCCUGAGCCCCUGGCUGAGGCCCCCACCACGACACCUGUCCGCUGCCCUGCCACCUGCCGUGUCACCUGCCCUGCCACCUGCAACCCCUGCACCCACCUCCCACGUAUCACCCCACCUCCCAUACUACCCUGCCUCCCGCUCUCCCUCUCCCUCUCCGCACCAGACGCCAAGCCGCCCCCCAACAUGCUGUUCAUCUGCAAGCUCAACCCGGUCACCAGCGAGGAGGACCUGGAGAUCAUCUUCAGCAGGUGCGGGCUGGGACUCGGGAAGAAGGGUUGCUUGCAUGAUUGUGGAUUAGCUAAGAAAGUGGUAGACGGUAGGCAAUCGUUGGUGUGUGCCCGGGCCCAACGAGAAAGUCCCAGGGGCAGGGGGCAGCGUCGCGCGGAGGUGGUGGUGGUGGGUUGUAGACACCAGCGCAAACUAGGGGGUUGCAGGUUGGUGCUUGAAGGGCGCGGGGACAGGGCAAACACACCUUCGCUCACCAUGUUUCCUUGUUCAUCGCACGAUUAUCACGCUGCGCACGCACAGGUUCGGCCACGUGACCUCGUGUGACAUCAUCCGCGACUUCAAGACGGGCGACUCGCUCAACUACGGCUUUAUUGGCUUUGACUCGUGAGUGCAGUGUACGGUGUACGGCGCAGUGUGGGGGGCUGCAGCAUACUGUGCUGUACGGGCUGGACAAUGUGAUUACACCGUACUCUGUACUCUGGUUUACCGCAUCAACACCGAAACUCAACAAAACUGCGAUGCGCCAUCACCAGCACCUUGGGCUUGGACUGGACCACCACCUAGCACCCGCCUAGCACCGCCACACCACCACUCCCCAUCGCCACUCCCAUGACCCAUCAUCAGCACUCCCCGCCAUCACUCCCGCUAUUGUUUCCUUACGGGAUUGGUUUACAGUUAAUCACCAUCACUCCCCGCCGCCACCACCGCCACCUCCGCAGUGAUGAGGCCUGCGAGGCCGCCUACUUCAAAAUGAACAACGCUGUCAUCGACGACCGCCGCGUGCGCGUGGACUUCAGCCAGUCCGUGCACCACCUGUGGAAGCAGUUCAGGAAGUGAGUGGCAAGGGGUGGGGCGGGUGUGCGAUGGGGGCGGGUGUGAUGGGCGCGUGUGGUCACUUCCAGGGCCCAACCAAUUCAGACCCAGAAUCCGAGGGGAACGGGGUACGGAUGCGGGUAUAAGUAUGCGUGGUGCGUGGCUGGAUAGUGAGCGGUGAAGCUGUUGCUCUAAUGUGCAUGGAAAGCGCAGUUGUACUCUGGAUUGCACUGCGGCCUGGCGGAACGAGUGUGAAAGUGGCGAAGUCCGUACACCCAGCAAGACUCACAAGUCUUGAACCAGCCGCGUCACGCCCCACCUCUCCUUCGUCGCAGGGGCGGGCGCAAGGGGGACGCCUCCAUGGGGCGGAUGGCGGACCAGCACCAGCGAGAGGAGGUGAGAGGGUUGGGGCGGGGUGGCGUGUGGAGGUGAGGGGGUGGGGAGGAGGUGAGAGGGAUGGGGUGGGUACGGGGCGGUAAGAGCUUGGAGCAAAGCGCGAGAGCUGCAUAGGUGGGGAGGUCUGCAUGACGCGCUCCCCACUGCACACGCUCCAUGCGCAGCGAGGGAAACGGCAGCGAGGGACACAGAUGCGUGUCUGAGCAGCAUGUGUGUUAUGAGCGAGGCCGGGCCGCGCAACCGCUGGCCCCUGAGUCAUGCCCUAGGCAUAUGCGAUGUUUGCGCAUGCCUGCACCGCCCCAUGCCACCGCGGCACGUGUGUGGCUUGACCGACUGAUGGACGCCGUGCGCGCGUGUUGCAGAAAUCCCGGGUGGAGCUGAAGAAGGGAGGUGGCGGCGGGCGCGGCGGCGGCGGCGGCGGCCACGACCUGCUGCUGAUGGAUGCGGACCAUGCAGUCGCCAUGGCGGCAGCGCGGAUGAACAACGGCGGCGGCAGCGGGCGCGGUGGUGAUGGCAGCCGAGGCAGUGACCGGGGUGGCGACAGGGGGCGCGGCGGCGACGCAGCGUAUGGCGGCGCCGGCGCCGGACGUGGCGGGCGCGACGGUGGUGGCGCUGGCGGCAGGAGGGAGGGCGGCGGCUGGGACCGCGAUGGGCCGCAGGACCGCGGAGACCGGGACCGGCACCGGGAGCACGAGCGUGUGCGUGAGCGUGAACGUGACCGGGACGGUGGCGCCGCCGGCCGCGAUGCUGGCGUGCGCGAUGGCGGCGGAGAGGCAGGCCGGGCACCGCCACCACGUCACCGGGAGCGCGCAGACCGCGAGCGGGAUCGGGAGCGCGACUGGGGCGUGGAGCGGGAACGGGAACGGGAGCGGGGCCGGCACAGCCGAGGGGAGGAGGAGGAGCCCCGGGACCGGGAUCGGAAGCGAGACCGGGAGCCGGACAGAGAGCGGGACAGGGAGCGGGAGCGCAGCCGGGACCGUGUCGAUGUUCGGGAGCGCGAGCGGGAGCGAGGGCGGGAGCGAGAUGGCGACCGCAAGCGAGAGGGCCGCGAAUAUGACCGCGACAGGCAGGGGGAGCGGGAGCGCGAGCGGCCUCCGGAGCGGGAGCGGGAUAGAGAGCGCCAUGACCGGCGGUGAGCUCAGACUGGGGACAGAGGGAUGUCGCCAUGCCCCUUGGGCCUGACGCCUUGGUCGCCGGUUGCAGUGUUGCUUCUUCGCUGCAAGCUGGUGGCGGGCCGCGAGCACGCUGGGAGUGCUGUACGGUGGCGGCCUCUAGGGGCGAAAAGGUGCUGGGGCCGCCUGACAUGUUCUUGCCUGGCAUUUCGCGUUGUUUGAGACGAGGGCAGACUCGGAACCCAAGGAAAGGACUGUGCUGAAGGGCCCACGGUGCACCGUGGUGGUGUGUGUGGUGAUUUCCUGUUGCCCGUGCGGCCGAACGGACUUGCGGCAAUCCGAACGGUAGUUUGUCCUCUUCAACUCUUCUUACCAGCCCCAGAGUCCAGCGCAGCAAGAUAGUUCCGCAACGCACGUCGAUAGCAAGAAUGCAAGAUCUGGGAGGGAGACAGCUGAAGCGAUGGCUUUGUUGUUACACACACGUGGACUCACAUAAGCACGCGUACGUACAUAGCGCAUCUGCGCCGCCCAGAACAUCGCCACCCAGCACCCCUCGUGCCCAUCAAAUGCGGAUUUAUUUCCCCGAAGCCCCUGCGAUUGCGUUCGUGCCUUCAACUGCGUUCAGGCAGGGCAUGGCCCCCGGCCUUUGCCCCAACAACCCCAACUCCCAUCCUUGCCCUCAGGCGCGCAAAACCUCCAACCUCCAGCGUGUGAUACACACUGAUCCACACCAUCACACCAACUGCAACGACCCGUGUCACCCCUGUCCCCCGUUCCCAAAACGCUGAGCCGUUUCUCCUUGGAGCCGCAUCUACGGUACGCGCGACUCACUUCCGUCCGUCCAGCCCCCGCGCCCGCCGUCCCUCUCAACCCCCCCGUGCCAAGCAGGAACACGCCUCAAAACUCUCCAUUUUUGGUUGUUCAUGACCGACCGACGUGUACUAGUAUCAAAAUGCCCCGCCACCUAACAGAGCGCACCUUGCCGGUUCGCGCUGCCGUACCAUGUCACUCGGGCCGCCGGGAGAAAGCUACUGAGAGGCUGGACCCAAAGUACCAGCGUUCAAUCUCGCUUCUCGCAUUCAAUUUCGUUCACACACUUGCAUACGUCACAGCAUAAAAUGUUUCAAAAACGCAGCCGAGACACACCGGUCCUCAGGUCCGCAGCGGUCGCGGAAAGUUAAGGUAAGUCGGUAACAAUAUUGCCGUACUGCUACGCCAGCCCCAAGCGCGGGCGAAUGCAAUCGAGUCGAAAUGGUCCACGCCUGUCAGGGUCACACCGUCACACGCGCACACAGCCGAGUUGCGGUUGAUGCAAUCCGGUGCCAACUUCCCAUUAAAUGCUCUCUCGCUUUGCACCAAAGUGCAAAAAGGUUGGAUUCAUGGAUUCGUCGCCGGGAAAGAGCCCCUGGCAGCCGCUCCACGUCAUUCCAACCCCAUCAUUAGUCAAAGUCCGUCCGUGUGUAGCACAUGUCAUCUGCUUGGGAGGCAUACGGAUGACACGCUCCUUGCUGAACCGCGUGCCAGUCACCAUGCCCCCAAUGCGCGUCCCUUCGUCUGGAAGCAGAAGGGACGACAGGCAUAUAAUCCAACCCAGCCGUGUGCUUGUGUGUGCAUAUGUUAUGGAUAUCUGGUAAGCCUGAUGCACAGGCCUGCUUACGCUUGCCCAUGCACUUCCAGCAAAAUACUAUCACAUGUAUUUACGCCGGGUGGAACGCGCCCGGGACGUCAUUCCGCCCAUUCUACCCCGUCCGGAAUUGCUGCCCAUCACCCCUUUUUCGCAGUGCUGUCGCGCACGCAGCCGGGGCCGUCACCGGCCCGCACCUGCCGCCCGCACUCUCUCGCAUUCUCUCUCAUGCCCGUGGUCUCUCCGCUUGCUUCUGCAAAAUGGCUUUCUUCGUGUCGUCACUGCGAUUGGCCGCCUCGCCUCCUCGUUUACCAGGCACUCCGGCCCAAAGCUCAGCAAACGCUUGCAGAGCUGAAAAUCGGUCUCAGAGGUUGACCUCAGUCUCGGUCUCAGGCUGUUGCUCCGUCUCAGAAGCUGAACCCCGGCCCAGCCUUUGAAGUCGUUGAUCGGCUGUUGCUCGGUCUCAGAGGCUGACCCCGCGUUCGGACUCACAGGCUGUACUUGAACAUCAGGUCGGAAGUGGCCUGGCGGAACUCCACCGGUCGGCAACCCACCACCUGGGGGUGAACAGGAGGUACAACACAAAAAUACGUGCGUAUGGCCGUGUGAGGCGGGAUGGCGUCGGGCAGGACCAUGUUUCAUGAAUUUGCUGUUAGCAGGCGUAUGGUGUGCGACGCGGGGCACUGUUGUGUUACUAAGUUGUGUUAGGCCGCGUGGCAGCCUGGCGUGCAAGUAUGGUACCGUACGGAACAGACUCGCCCCUCGCCCGCGUGCCCCAGACCAACCACACAGCGCACGCGCGCGCGCACACACACACACACACACACACACACACACACACACACACACACAGCACGCAUCGCAUGCAUACAUGCAUACAUUCAACCCACCUCGUCCACGCAGGCGUUGUUGAAGUACAUGCGCACUGUGGGCGUCUUGUGGAUGCGGUGCAUCUGCGUCAGGUCGCACCGCUGCAGCCCCAGCCGCAGCCGCUGCACCGGCUGCGGCGAGCCGCCCGCCGCCGCCGCCAGCUGCUGGUGGUGCUGGUGCUGCUGCUGCUGCAGGCUGUGCGCGCAGUUGAUGCCGGCGUUGGUGGCGUUGGUGGCCGCGGCGGCGGGGAGCUGGCCCAGGCGGCCGACGCCGCCCUGCUUGAUGGCGACAGAGCAGUUGACGCGCGCGAACACGACGCGGCGGCCGCAAAACAUGUGGGACAGGCGCUGCAGCUCCGACUCCAUGCGGCUGCUGGCGUUGCACCAGGGCGCGUGGAACAGCACGAUCGCGAGGUACCUGAGACGCGAGGGCGAUUGGGGAGCGAGGGUGAGAGUCAGGUAGUGGUGAGGGAAGCGAAAGAAAAUGUUACCAGGGGCGUCACCAGCGCAUGAGAAGGGGCGGUGGAUGUUGGGUCGAGCCGUGGCUUGAGUCGUUGGGUUACAAAAUGCGAUGGCAAAGGUGCGAAAGCGAGUGUUGCCGACUGCGAGUCCUUGACAAAAGCGGCCGCCCGGUUCAGUGUCCCCGCUGCCCCCAGUAAGAGCUCACCCGGCGCGGUUGGCGGCCACCACGAACGAAUCAAACUGGUCAGGCGUGCGCAGGACGGCCAGGUCGGAGACGAAGGGCUGAGCAGCGAAGCCCGGCAAAGAUGCAUCCGGCGAAAGCGGUGGUACAGCUGCGGGGGCAGUUGCGAUCGCGGCGAAAGCCGAUCCGUCGUUGCUUGCGCUAGGUGCUGCCAGCAGCGCGUAGACCGUCGACAGAGCCAGCGCAGCGGCCACGAAGACGCGAGCGAAGUGACCGGGCAGCGAUGAAUCCGUGUGAAGGCCAGCCGCAGCGGAGCUCGUGGUCGAGCUGAGUGCUACCGGCCCACUGGCUGCUAGGUACACGGCGGGCGACGCUGGCUGACUGGUGCUUGCCGGUGAAACAACAUUCGCUGACAGUACUGUAGCCAUGCGCGGCCGCUGGGGUGCCAGCCGGCCGGGCGAGCUAAUAGCACGUCGUUGCAGCAGCGAAGAGGCGCCACUGCCCAGUCCCAUGGGAAGAUUGCCCAGCGCGGCCAUGGCUGAAAAAGUUGUUGCCUUGCAAGCCUUGGAAAGUCUAGUGCGUGCCGUUUAGUCCUAGCGCCAGGUCAGGCCGCUGCAGGACACAAUACUUAGCAGUUCUAGAAAUAGACUAUGACGGCAAAUGAACCCAGCUCGACGCUUGCACACCCCGAGAUUGCAGACGUGGCAGGCGGGGACCUCAAUGCGCCAAAAUGUGUAUAACUUAAACGCAAGUUAAGUAUAAGCGUGGCAGCUGCCAGUCGGCAAACAGCAAUUCCACGCGAACCCACCGAUGCGUGGAUUGCCGUCCGAGGACUUUUCGCGAACAGCUCGAAUUGCCUCCCCCGAGCGCGGCAUGCACAAUUGAAGCAACACUUGACGAUUCUCUCAUUUCCAUGGUGCGUGAAUCGUGGCGCGGACUGACUCGAGUCAAACGGGCAGGCAUCCGAAAGUGCAGCCAUCCAGCCACCCCUUCGCGAACCCAGAGGAGACAAGCUAUGCAACCCUGGCCAAAUUUAUAUGCUGUUCAGGUAUCGUCUGGCACAUACCAUACAGGUUCACGCGGUGGCCAGGCCGCCGAUGACGCCGUGGCCUUCCAGCGCCCACCAGAGCCACAGAGCUCCAGUCUUCUCCAACUUGUCGCUUCUAGCGCUUCGUCAUAACGUUCGAUGUACAGUCAAUGCGUCUGUCCCUUGCACGCAUGGACUAAACGCCGUCAAAUUGAGUUCACCCGCCGCGCACCGUCCGUGUAAUCCUGCGCCUUCAGCCAGCGACACACGGGUGACACGACCACCCAUUCAUGCAUGCAUCGGCAAUCAUGCCCAGACCUGCCCCAUCGUCACUAGCCGCCGCCCAAGAGGCCCUGAGCGCAGGCCUCCCUGGCCUCCGUGGCCAGCACCCCACCCGGCAGCACCGCCGCACCAUACCAGGAGACCACUGCUGCACCACGACAAGUUCCCAGACACCAGCAGUAUGGCGGCACUCCUAGGGCACCGCCGCACUGCAUGACGGCCUGGCCUCGCCGCGCCUCGAAGCCGCCGCCGCCGCCUUCCAGGCUUCUACCAACAAUGCCCAGCCAUCAUCCAUUGCAUCACAUCAGCCGUGGCGGGACCCACAAGCCCGGCAUUGUACAGACUGCGAGCCCUUGUAUCACACAUACCACACACCCACACGCUCUGCAGGCAGCCCCUGUAACAGUGAUAUACGACGUAUGAAAGGAUUGACAGUGCAUUGAUCUCCGCUCUCGUCUAAGAUGCUCUGAGGAAUCGCACCGACCAUGCAAAGCACGAAACCGCUCAGCAAGUAAACGCAACCCGCACACACGGACACACGGACACACACACACACACACACACACACACACACACACACACACACACACACACACACACACACACACACACACACACACACACACACACACACACACACACACGCACGCACGCACGCACACACACGCGCACACCUUAAGGAGAGGGCGCCCGGAUGCGCUGCAGACAACGCCGUCACACGCGCGGCCCUUCAGCCACUGCACGCCUCAAGCCAGCCGCACGCCAUUCCACCCACCGGGCCACCACCCGUCCCUCCGUCACCCGCCGCCGCGCCGCCUCAGUACCGGCGUCGCGGCUACCGCCCUUCCCCCGGCGCCGCGCCGGUGUGGUAGCGGCUGUGCACAGCCACCGUGACCGCGUCCCCAGCGCUGCUGCUACCCACGCCGGCGGCGCCCGGCACCCCUAGAAGCGGCUCCGUGAGCCCGCCGCCAACGGCGCCGGCCGCCCCGCCACCGCUGAGGCCGCCUGCGCUGGAAUUGCGCUUGUCUGCUCCCGCCACCGGCUGCGGCGGCGCCUUGGGCGCUGGGGCCAGUGAGUUGAAAUAGCCGUACAGCGCCAUCCCGAACACGGCCAGGAUCAUACCUGUGUGACGAGGGCGGAUAGCAUUGGUUACAAGAGGGACAUGCUGGCGCGGUUCACGAGUCAGUGACGUGGAAAGCGAAAGCAGGGGUAGCGGGGGUGGAGUCGAGGGUUGCAUGCAACAAGGAAACCGGGAAACGUUGGAUGGAUUCGCGACGGGGAGUGCAUGAUGGCGGUUGUUGGCUGAGGGCAGGAAGCGGAGGAGUAGGCGCGGCCAGCAAUGGAGGAGACAGCAGUUAGGCUGCAGGCUCCUGCCCUGGCACGGGCCGGAGGCUAAAUCGAGGCAACGUGGCCGCAUCCCGCCAGACCUCCGCGCAGUGAGGACCCCGGAUGGCCCCAGCGCUUGCUUUCCCAUGCCAUCACACCACCAUCAAAAAAACGGAGUGCCGCACCGCCACACCGCACCUCACCAAACCCCAACCCAACAACAACACCACUGCGACAUCGCAACAGCCUAACCCACAUCUCGCACCAUGCAAACCGCAUCCUGAGUUCCUGACACCCCUCCCCGACCCACUCCACGCCGCCCCACACGCCGCCCCAUGCCACCCACCGGCCAGCUUCCUGUUGGUGAUGACGUCGCCCAGGUACAGCCAGCCGCAUAUGAGCACCAGCACCGUCUUGGUGUGGCCCAGAACCUGUGGGAGGGAGGGGAGGGAGCGGUCAGGUCCAAAUCCAACUUGAGCGAGACCCAGAACCCGACCAGCCAGCCCACAUGGGCGUGUGGGGUGUGGGGAAGGCGGGCAAUGCGGGUAGCUGAGCGUGUGGAUGGCGCCGCGUAUGGUGCCAGGGGGCAACAUGAGGGGGCUGCUUCUGCCAGCAAGUGACCUACGGGCUGGUGCGGGUCCUGGUCUUCUUGGGGUAGGAAUGAACUAAACCCCACCCCUGCGUCAUGCUAUCCGCCCCUCCCACCUGAAACGCCAGCGCACCGAACCUGCCCAGGCACAUAACCUCCCCCCCUUUCCGUGCCGCGCUUUCUCUUUUGCUUGACUGCUUCAACCAGACCGUUCGCUUAGACUCUCUCGAGCGCCCUCCCCCCGCCCCCCCCCCCACACACACACACACCUGGAACGUGACUGCGCUGAACCUGCCCAGGCACAUGAACUGGCUGAUGUUGACCAGCACCGCCACGGCGCAGCUCCAGAACAGGCAGUUGAGCGCCGGCACGUUGAAGUCGUAGGAGCCGAUCCAGUGCCGCGUCAGCAGCUGGUCCACGAAGGGGCCCACAGCCAGCAGCAUCAGGCCCUGAAGGGGGGCGCGGGGAGAGGGGUGGUGGCGAUGCGUGUCAGCUGUCACGUGUCAGGGUGACUUUCUACCGACGUCACAACCUGUGUCACCCCUCAAACCUUCCCAGCUUCCCCAGCUUUUGGCUCUCCCCCCCCCUCCCCCCUCGCCCCCUCGCCCUCUCGCCCCCUCGCCCCUCGCCCCUUCUCACCCUCUCACCCUCUCCCCCUCUCCCUCGCUCCCUCACUCCCUCGCUCCCUGGUUCCCUCGCUCCCUCGCUCCCUGCUCCCUGCUCCCUGCUCCCUGCUCCCUGCUCCCUCACUCCCUCGCUCCCUCGCUCCCUGCUGCCUGCUCCCUGCUCCCUGCUCUCUGUCCCUCUCCCUCCAAGUAUGGCGCGUGUACACUGCCCUUGUUUCGGACAGCCACCCCCAACCAGUCAUUCCCCAGCUACUUCCCUCUCAUCGGUCAAAGCGAAAUACGCACACACACUCCCCCUCCUUCCCUGCAACACCUCUCCACUUCUCCCUCUCCUCCUCCCCCUCCUUCUCCGCCCUUCCCACCUGCACGGGCGCUGUGUUGCUGAGCAGCUGGUUGCUGGUGAGGCCCAGCCGCCGCUGGAUGGCGCCGCACAUGAUCUGCUGCAGGCCGCUGGUGACCACACUCACGGCGGCGAUGACCAGGCCCAGGCCGUUCAUGGACACGUCGGUCACCGUGCUGCGGGUGGUUUGGUGUGUACGGAUAGGUGUGAGCGCGUGUACUAGAGGGCGCAAGGGAAGGAAACAUGCGGGACUGUGUAUGCGGCCUGUGUAUUUGUCAGGGAGAGCGCGCAGGGGAAGGACCACACAAAUGCCGCCCUCUCGUGAAGGUGCGAAGGCAGUUUGCGAGCAUCGUAUGUGCGCUGUCUCCAAACCCCUUCCACACAAAGCCCUCCAGCGCUCCCGCCGAGCCCGCCUCACGUCCCGUAGGCUCGUAGAAGGUACUGUAAAGCCUACUGUGAAGCCUGCUGUAAAGCCUGCUCUCCCGCUGAGACUGGUGGAGUCAAGCCCCCGUCCCGCGUUCUCAUCCCCCGCGCUACUCACACAACAGCCACGCCCACGACCACGACCAGGAUGGAGCCGACCAUGGGCCCCGUGAAGGUCCGGUUGAACCACGCGAACUCCACCAGGCACACAAACGGAAUGAUGAGCAGCUUGGAAAUCUGCACAUGGGGUGCGUUAGGGAUGCAUGAUGCAUGCAUGAUGUUGACGGGCACAGCAAGCAUACGCCAGAGAAUUGGGGCUUUGCCCGCCGAAUCGGCAGUAGCGUGCAACACCCAACCUGGGAAGCAUGCGUGUCCCCUCCCUGCCCCUGCUCACUCCGUGAACGCGUGACGCUACAUUGCUGCUACCGAACCUGUGCUCUGUCCAUAGUCCCUCGCCCAGGACCCGCUGACCUGGUAGAAGCCCACGCUGUUCACCAGCAGCGAAAGGUUCAGGCUGGCGAUGGACACACUUGCAAUUACCGCGAACAGGAGGCAGUCUGCAAGGCAACAUAAGCGUUUUGACGUAUGUAUGGUAGCAAGAACAUUAUAUUACGACGGCGCGCCGGCGCAAAUGCGGGCGUUCCCACCUUUUAGGGGCAUCACUGCGCGCUUCCCGAUGCCGACCGCUUCCAUGAUGCGCACGCUCGCACCGCAAGCCAAAAAGUGGAACGCACAUAGCGUCGUAGCUGCACGAGCAGAAUAGGUUGGACCAACGUUAGUUUGCGACCCCUGUUGCACACCAAACAUAGCCCCAACAAUGCAUCUGAUCCACUUACCAAACACGAACUUGUACCCCAUCUUAGGGUCCAUCAGGACCUUGUUCACGAAGACGAUGAGCACGCUAGUCGACACAUUCAGGAACCACGCGAACACGUCCGUCGCCAUUUUGGCCUCACGAGGAUCUAGUUGUGCGCCCAUCGUUGCGAUGGUCUGCGCCUCGGGGCGCCUCGCAAGGAGCUAGAUGGUCAGUUCGAGUUGGGGGCCGAUUCUCAAGGAAGCUCAAGUGAUUGGAGCUAUGUGUGUGGCAUAUGAUAUAUGUGGUAACUUAUUUAUGGUUGCAGUGACAAUCGUCCCAAGGGCGGCACUGGUGCAAAUUGGCGGGCAACGUCGCAUCUGGGCAGCCGGCGCGGGAACGAGCGCGUUCAGCUCCAGGUCCGGCGGCGAAGCCACCCUCGCCCUGGCCCCUUUCCUCAGCUACACUUUCAGUCGUCAGCGUUCACAGUGAGCGGUUACAUGCAGUACAGCAUUACCACGUUUGUCAGUACCCACUGCACGCGUGUGAGCAGCUUGGUGACUUUGAGCGCCUCAAGCCAGCAGAACGGUGAUUGCGUAGUGCGCAGGCUCUAUUAGGACCCGGGAAAGCCAGGCACAACCCGGAACGAACAGCCACCUUCAUGCAUGAAGUGGCGACAAGGCAGUGUCAUGAAAGUCACCAGCUAUAACGCAUCUUUGCCUGUGAUACAGGGCCAUACCUUGCCGGCUUGCCCCGAGCACCGUGCAGCCGCGCAUGCGCCGUACUCCCGAGACUUGUGCUGGGAAUGCGUCCCACUCUCGCACUGUGCUCACAGGCGCACGCGCGUAUUCACCGACGCAAGUUAUCGUCUGUAAGUCCUUUUGCAACAUCUUAACAACGCACACUCGCAACCUCAAGUGGCUAUCACUCGCUUGUGAGGGGGCAACAUAUACGAUCAGCCUGGCUAGGUGUCCCCGACCCUCCACUCAAAGGAUCGCCCGCGCGGCGGCGACAUGCGUCGACCACUGCUUCUGCUGGCUGCUGACUGCUCGCAGCGCUUCCCCCUCAAGUCCCCGCACCCACCAAUCGGACCAGCAGGAGCGCACUGCGCCUGCCCUCCGCAACCGCCAGCCGCCAUCGCAGCCGCGCCAUCAAAUGCAUCCCGUACAUUUACAACCCAGGCUUUGCUGCCGCUGCCCUUCCCGGCAUGCUGCUGCUACGCAAAACGAGCGCACCCGAUCGCAACAACCACCACUCCACCACCACGAGGUCCUGCUGCACCCCACCUCCCCUCCGCGCCUGGGUCUCCUGCCCACAUUGGGCGGAAUACCAAGCCACCCGUGCGAGCCACCCCAGCAUUGCCAUCCCAUCACUUCCUCUCCCUCAUGCCAAGCGGACGGCACGCGACACCGCUGCAAGCCUCGCACGCCACAUACCGAAACAAGCGCCGCGCCCGCUGCUCCCUCGCCGCCCCAGCUGCCGUGCCCGGGCUCAGAAGACGUCAGGGUUGCGGUGCGGCCCCAGGUGGUCGCUGUUGGUGGCCUUCUGCAGGUGCAGGCUCAGCGAGUAAUUUGUCAGCUGCAGGCUCCGGACCUGAGGAGGCGGGCGGGAGCGGGGGGCGAGAGGAGGCGGGAGGCAACAGUCAAGGCCGGUCAGUGCAGUGAGUGGCGAGAAGGCAGGUGUGACUGUACACGGCCAGCAUCCGGGAGCAGUGGCGCUCGGGGCGGCAGGGACGGUCCAAACGUGAUGCUGCCGUCAUAAGGUGACCUGGGUCGCUCCCCGUCUCUUGGCGUUGCCCAGGACGUACCCCGGCCGUUUUCUGUGCUCCACAGGACCCGUCUCCCUCCACUCCCAACCCAAAGGGCGCUUAUCCUAUGUAUGAACCUCACUCCGCGCUUAUAGUCCGCACACGCACACAAACAAGCACACGUCACGCAGUCCACAUGCGCUCGCACCGUACACGCACACGCAGUCCACACGCACACACACGCACACGCAGUCCCCACCUGCUCCUGGUACUGCGCCAGCAUGGCCUUCAGGUUCGCCGCCUCGCCCUCCGCCGCCGCCUUCUCCUGCGCGGGUAGAGAACAGGGAUGGCAUGGACACGCGAAACAUCAGCGGUGCAAGUCGGGCUCCGAUAUCGUCAGUACAGGCAGUGGUGCGAUGCGAACUGUACAUACAUACGGUAUACAUCUACAAACCCCCCAAGAGAAGUGCAAAUGUUGUUGGCUUUACUGCUAUCCACGUUGCAACCUCCCUCCUCUGCCUCGCCUAUAACACACGGCUACGUCGCCUGCCCCUCACGCCUACAUCGGCCCCCAACCCACCUGCAGCUGCCGGUGCUGGAUCUGCACCGCCUUCUUCAGCAGGGCGUUCUCCUCCGCCAGCUUGGCCGCGCGCUGAGCCACAGACUGGUGGGAGGAGGCGCCGGCGCCAGCAGCAGAGGCGCCGGCGCCGGUGCCCGGCUCUGGUGACGCCGCCGAUGUGGACGCCCCCCCGUCCUGUGCGCGGGUAUGCCGCAGCAUCGUUGUUAUAUCCCGCCGCUUGGUAGUUGCAGGGUGCUGUUAAUGCUGCAGAGCUAGAGCUCCCGCGCCGACCCUCACGCACCCUGACUCAACACGGCGCUUGGUAUUCGGUUUGCAACCCCACACCACCCCAUCACGCCUUGUUAAACAUUUUGUGCCCACGCCCACCACCCACACCUGCUGCUGCCGCACGUAUCGCACCACAAAUGCUUCAAACUGCCGCAAAAAGCCCGCCGCCCGCGUCCGCGCGUCCGUGAGGUCGCGUGCCGCGCUCAUCUCCCCCACCAGCACCUCCACCCACUGCUCCGCCGUCGCGGGGCCGCCCGAUGUGCCCGCGUCAGCUCCAGUCGCUUCUGCCGCGGCCGCGGCUGCAGCCGCAGCUUGCGAGCUGGGGGGCGGCGGCGUUGAUGGUUGCGCUUCUGCGGGGGGCGAUGACCGGGCGGGAUGGGGUAUAGCGCUCAGUCGUGCAGUGUGUAAGUAUAGCGGUGCCGAGAGCAAAUGUCCACUGCACGUGCUGCUAACGGGCGCAGUCACUGUAAGAGCUAAAGCGCUGGGUGCGCCUCCGGUCGCUUGGUCGCGCGGGCACCCGUGCCACAGGCCACGCACGACACUGCCGUCCCGGCCCUGUCACUCCUGCCCUCCCCCCUCGAAUACAAGGCCUGCCAGGUGCACGACGCCCUCGACGUUUGCCCCCGUCACUUGGUCGGGCACGCCAUGUCGCGCUGCAGCGAGUAGCAGCUGCGGCACCGUCGCCCCCGUCUUCACCCCAACCCACCUCGGUGGUCAGCUGCAGCAGUACUCCCAACGGAUAGUCGCAGCUCGCCCAGCCGUUUGAUGGCUGCGUCAAUGUUGUUGCCGCAUUCCGCAAGGACGCUCGUCACAGCCUGCAGCCAGCGCAACCGCAGCGACGUUCCAUGACGUGGUGCUAGCGAACUGAAUUCUCGUGCGGACUUACCCGCUCAUCCAUCCCCGGGAAGAGGGCCAGGAGCGCAGCGAUAGUAGUUGGUGGGACCGCAUGCACGCCGGACCCGCUGGCGACGAACGGGACGCAACGAGCUGGGCUCGCUGCUGUCCGUGUCCGCUUGCCGCCGAAGCCCGCCCGGUCGAAGCCCUCAGUGGCCUCGCCCUCGUCAAAAUGUCGCUUCGCCAGGAGAGGAGAGUUUACAACUCCAAGGACAGACAUCGCACGAAUACAACGGGGUUUCGCGAGCGGAGGGGGGCGUCCCCGUCCUAGCCCCUAGCAACCUAUAAUAGCCUACGUCUGACUGCAGAGGUGGCGUGCGUUGUUGCCAGGGAGUAGGAGGCUGCCAACCUCGCCGCUAGCAAGAGAUUUCUACCCUGAUUGCGUAGUCGCUGGCACAGCAAACGGUGUAGGAAGAGAGGUUCAAGAAUAAUACUGGAUAAUGAACAGGUGCUUGGUGGCGCGCCGACCUGUGCUGUGGCAUUGGCUGUGCGCCAAAUGAGGCGAGGCGCACCCGCUUGGCGAGGCCCGAAGCCCCCGACUCCCGAGCCCCCCGUGCCAGCCCCCCCCCCCCCCCCGCCCAAAUCCCUCUUGCGGACACAUGACCCCUUCACUCCUUGCUUGUGCUUAAAGUGAUAUGAUUCCAGCUGCGUUCCAACCUUAUGGCUGAGCGGCCAGUUAAAAAGCAUUACCUGGAGUCGGGAUUCCAGGCCUAGCACGGCCCAAGGCAUUACUGUACGCAGCAUUCACCACCUGCAUCUGGACCCCUAAAUGUUCUCCCAAACCAAAUUACCAGUCGCCACUCCGAACAACACGGAUACCGUAUUGACUGGCAGCAGCCCCGGCCAACCAGCAUCGUAUCUGCAACGCACGAGUGCCCGUGCAGCCAUGAUGGACACCUGCCCACCAUCUGUCAACUCGCAACUAGUUGGUAGCCCCCAACGGCAUGCCAGUAAAGCUCACGUACAGCAGCAAGACAUGGCAUUGACUAAAUUAUCCUGCAGUAACACAUGGAUAUGCGCACAAGACCAGUCUCAUGCUCCUGCCUGAGCUGCCGCACUCGUCGUCAGGCGGUUCAAAUGCACGGUACAACCUGUGCCAAUGCCGAAGAGCCACACCUACGACGCAUGCCGCAUCUCCGUGCCGCGUCACAGGUCCUUACUUGGGUGCUGAGCGCAGUCGCUUAGACGCCCGGAAGCGCGCCGUGAAGAGCUGCGCCACCAGAGCCGGGUGCGCCGCCGCCAGCUGCUCCACCUGCGCCUCCGGAAUGUCCUCUUCCAUUUCCGCCGCACUGCUGAUGAGCCCCGUCAGCAGCUCCGCCUGCCCCUGGCCCUCCGCCAGACCCGCUGCCCACAUCAGGUCCGCCAUGACGGUAGUCGGAGACAGGGUGGCAAGCAGGUGCGCUCGCAGCAGCCCUGCCGCCUUGGGCAGCAGCAGCCGGUCCGCCAGCGCUAGGCAGCGCCACGCCUGCUCCCGGGAAGCCACACGAAGCUCCCCGCCGUACAUGAAGCGCAGCAGUGCCGCCAGCGCGUCCGGGUCGGUGUCCGGCAGGUGCAGCUCGCGCGUGUUGCUGUCGCCCAGCCCGCUGGCAAAGUGCGUGGCGAAGUAGGGGCAGCGCGCGGCCAAGAUGGCGCGGUGCACGGGGAAGCGGCGGCUGCACUCGGCACCCCCAGCCACCGCGCUGCUCGUUUCACCGCUGUCCCCCGGUGCCGCUGAUGCCGUGGCACUGAUGGUGAGGUCAGAUGUGGGGUGGGGGUCUUCGAGCAGCGCAAGGAAGUCGCUGCUAAGCUCGCUCAUGGCGCUAGCAGCCUGCGUGCCACCGUCGCCACUGCCGCCGCCGCUGCUACUGGUGCUGCUGAUGGUGGCUGGGUAGCUGCUGCCAUCACGUGGGUCCGACUGGCCCGCCGCUGCCGGCGCCUGCUGGUACUCCAGGUCCAGGCGGAUGAGCAAAGCACCGUCAUGCGCACGCAAGAAGCCGGAGGCAGGCGUGAAAAGCUUCUUCAGGGGCAGCAACUUGUCCCAGCCCCAGCCCCGGUGCUCGUUUUCCUUGAAGGUCGUGAAUGUAUGGUCUGUGUGGCGAUGGCAAGGCGGAAAUGAUGACAAGAGGAAGUGCUGAAGAGAAGAAUCGCGCACUGCAUGGUGGCUAGCAUGGUGGGCUAGUCACGGGAUCCCUGACCUUUCGUGCAGAAGGAGGCUUCGGAGUUCACCCAGUUCUGUAUAGUGAAGUUGAACUUGGUGGGUGGCGGUGGCACGGUGCCGUUGCUGCCAUCUCCCUGGGCUCGCAGGAACACGGACAGGUGCGUGAGAGGCUCCGUGGUAAAGCCAGGGUAAAGCUCCAGCCGCCUGCACGUAAGGAUAUAGGCACGACACAGUCAUCAAAGAAUGAAUUGUCUGUCUGACUGCAAGUAUAACAUAGCCAGCAGCCGAGCUUUGUUCGUCUGAAGCAAGGUGUCAGGGGACAGGGGACAGAAAGCGCGGGUCAACGACGCCGGGGCGCACCAUGUGUGACCGCCCAGCGUAAACGGUGGAGAGUCCUUGCUGCCGCUUAGCCCGCUGAAAUCCUUCACGAGCCACUGCAAAUGGUAGAGUAGCGAACGCAAGGCAUGAUCAAAUCGGGCAGCUCUGGGUUGGUGGACAGCUGGCACGGGCUUUACAUCGCACCUCCUGGGAGUACAUGUUUCGGCCGCAGCUUUGACGCUGAGUGCUGAAAGGAGCUGAGGAAUGCUCCUCCCAGCCUCUACGCUGGUCGCGUUUCUUUGCAAUGGACCCCAACGGUGACCCCUGGGUCGAAUGGUUGAAACGUCGCCGUGGCUGCUUUUAAAAGGCGGCCAUGGUCGCGUCCAAGAACGGGGCAUCCGCACGUCCUCGCAGCAGCAGCCUGCAGGCACCCAAGCAGCCUGCACCCAGCAGCCUGCACCCAGAAAGGCGACCUACUUGUAGGGUGUUGUCCACCGCAAGUGGAGAGUGCCGGCCCAGCGAAAUGUUCCCAUCGUCUCAUACACCCAACCCACACCACCCCAACCAUUCCCCUUGCGCUUUCCUAACACGCAAACACGAGGCAUCACGGUGUCUUGGGCUCACAUGCCCACUUAAACACAACCCUUCUGUAAGGAAGUAACCAUACAUUGCGUACCUCCGCACCCAAACACACAGUCUGCACCCAAAACACACAGACAAAGGCAAACAUCCGCCAACGAAGUCCCACUGGCCCUGAUCGCUGCAUCCCCGGAGGCCUUACAGGUCCGCAUACGGGUCAGUGGCGAGCGACCACAGCGGCUUGGCCGCCGCCCCGCCCUUCUUGCCCUUCGAGUCGCCCGCCGCGCCGCCUGACCGCUUGCGCACGCCGCCGCCCUUGGCGCCUAGCGCCCCGUCCUCAUCAUCCUGUGCGCGGGGCGGGGUGGGGUAGAAGCAGACGCGAGAAUGUUGAGGCAGGACAAGUCAGCAAGGGCAGCAGGAUGGCAUACAGGCUGGGCGGCGUGCGGGCUGUGAAACCAUAAUGCAUAGUAGCGCCGCUAUCUCCAGCCGCGAUGAGACAACAACCCGGUCAUUCUCACUUCCGAAGUGGGGACGCCCCCAUCUCAGCCGAGUCUGCACACCACUCAGCCACCCACCUUGCUGCGGCUGGUCCGCCGGGCCCCGGCCAGCUUGCCCCGGCCCCUGCCUCCGCGCUCCUCGCGCCCGCCCCGGCCUUUCUCCUUCUUCUUGCCGCCGCCGCCAAUGGGCGUCAGCUGGCCGGCCUUCACAGCAGCCUCCCACUCCUGCACGGAGAAGAGCAGGCUUAUCAGAAACUCCAGCGCAGGAUGCAGCAACCAGCCAAGGCAGGGGUUAGCGAUACGCCGCGGUCCGACCUGACGUAACCCAAGCCCUUUAGGUUCCACCACGGACUUCCAUAACAAUUGUUACCAACGCAUCAGCAUAUCCGCAUGAAGGCUUCCCCCCUGUCUCACCCCACCGCCUCACCACCGCCUCACCCACACCCCGACCCUGCCUCUCGCCCAGUGAAAUCCCUGGUACAGGUACAGCACCGUCGCCGCGUCUGCCUCUGCCCUGGCCCCUGACUCUUCACCACCCCUGCCUCCCUUCACCACUCCUGCCUCCCCUCACCCUGUGGAACUUCUGGUACAGGUACAGGGCUGCGCGGGCGUCAUCCACCGGCGUGUGCUCGCCCUGCUGUAUGGCCAGGCCCAGGUGCGUGGCAGCUAGGUCCUGAGAGGUGGGGUGGGGGGCGAGAGAGAGUGGGAGAGGAGGGCGUGGCAGGGAUGGGUAGGGAGUGACAGGGAUGGGUAGGGAUGGGUAGGGAUGGGGCAGAAGGGAGCAGGGAAGGGGAGAUGGCGGGGAGAAGGAGAGGAGGCAUGAGAUGGCGGGUUGGGGACAGGUGGUUUGCGGCAGGCACACGCCUUGCGCCCUCGUGUGCAUCCGACCCAAUCAACCCCUCUUUGGCACGUGAGCAAAGCUCCCACACGCACGCACCUUACAAACCACAUUCCAAACCCCACGCUAAAGCAAGCCCCCUUUGCAUGGACGGCUGCACGCCCCAUCCUGCCCCUCACCUUGAGCGAUGCCGACACUUUGCGGCCGUUGGGCAGUGUCUUCAUCAGGCCCGGCCACUUGCUGGUGUCGCGCAGGUGGGUGCGCGGGUGGUCCUCCAGCCGCAGCGCUUUGAGGUCGUGCCCGAUGGCGUGCCCCACCAGCACACGGCCCCGCACCAUGUCGCCCACCUGGGGAUUGGGUGUGCAGGGUGAUGGUUGGGGGUUGGGGAGGUGGUUGGGGAUGGUGGUUGGGGAGGUGGUUGGAGAUGUGGGGGCGGAGUGUGCGGGAAGGUGGUUGGGUAUGAGGUGAGGAUGAGGAUGAGGUGCUGCCGCGUGCCAAACCCAGACCCCUUUCUUCCCCCUGUCUGCGAACCAUUUCAUCCGCGCCCCCACCCACCUGCUGCACCACCUCGUCGUACGGCCGCCCGCGCGCCACGUCCUCCGGCCGCACGCCCGACACCCAGGUCCUGCAGCGGCGGGGGUGCGGUUGCAAUUACCAGCCCAAACUAAACCACACCAAGCUAAGCUAGCGGAGUACAGGCAGGGGCGUUAGUCGCAAGCGAUAAUACUUUGGGGGGAGAAGGCCCCGACUACGACACGGCGAUGAUGGCGGCGGUGCAUGGGACUGCUCAUGACCUGAUUGCCCACGGGAGCAGCCUGUUGACUCCUCCCUGGCCCACGUCCCUGACCAGAGACACGGCGACACUUCCUCCGCCACCAUUACAGCUCCGCCUUCGCCUCCGCCCACAAUCCGCACCCCCCUGCCCCACACCCCGCACCACCCUGCCCCACACCCCGCGCCUGCCUGCCCCGCACCUCGCCCCACACCCCGCGCCCCCCUGCCCCACACCCCGUGCCCGCCCCCCCCCCGGCCCCACGCCCCACGCCGCCCCUCACCUGUAGUCAGUCACCGGCUCGUUGGGCCGCACGAAUGUGUCCAGCAGCACCGCCCCCGCGCCGUUGACCAGGCACACACGCGCCAGCGCGCUCACGGAGCCGUUGGGGCCCGUGCCCACCAUCUCGCAAUCCAGGGCCAGAACCUGUGCGUGUGUAGUAUGAAGCGGAUAGUAUUAAGGCAACAAGGUAUAAGUACUUAAGGUGUGAAGCUAAGCCGAAGCCGAAAGCCAGCCUCGGUGUCAGCCGUUGUCAAACACGCUCCCGCCUUCCUGGACGUACAAGCGCUUGAGGGCUUUCCCAUCUGGUACGCUCUCGCCUUGAUACAUUAUGCAACGCACCUUUGUAAGCCCCGUCUCCGUGCCAACCAGCCCAGGACGCCGUGCACCUGCCGCUGCGGCGGCCGCCGCCGCCGCUCCCUUGCUGCCAUCCGCCUCUGCUGCCUCCGCCGCCGCCGCGGCCGCAGACUUCUUCUUCGCCAACCGCCGCUGCACGUGCUCCGGCGGCGGUGGGCGCUUCGCAGCCGCCACCACCUUCUCUCGCAUGGCCUCCCAAUUGGAGUUUACGGGUGACUUGCCCUUUUGCUUCGGAGCCUUGUCCGCGGCGUUUUGCCCCGCAGCAUCCGUCGCGCCGCCCGGCGCAGCGGCGUCAGCGACGGCGGCGGCGGCCUUGGCUGUGGCGGUGGCGGCCCCUGCCGCGGCAGACGCAGCAGCAGCGGAGGCAGUCGCUGCAGCCGCUGCCGCGGCGGCUGCGGCGCCGGCAGCGGCCGCGCCCUUCCCCUUGGGCUUCGCGCCCUUGCCGGCGCCCUGAGGCGCAGCAGCAGCACCCGGCGCCGUCACUGCAGCGGCAGCGGGAGCAUCGUCGGUGCCAUUCGCCACCACCCCAGCCACGGCAUCCGCAAUCUCAGCGUCUGUCUUGGUGCGCUUCGGGGCCGGCGUGUCGCCGUCACCGCCCGCACCACGCUUCUUAUCGAAACGCCCGCCACCACGGCCGCCAAAGCCGCCGCCGCCACGGCCCCGGCCGCCAAAGUCCCCGCCGCCGCGUCCCCGGCCACGAAAGCCGCCGCCGCCGCCCCGGCUUCCGCCCCGGCCUGCGAAGCCGCCACCGCGGCCACCCUCACUGCUCCCGCGGCCACGGCCGCCAUCGCCUCGGCCACCCCUGCCUCCAUCCCGGUCGCCGCCCCGGCCCAGGCUUCUGCCGCCGCGCCCGCCGCUGCGCCCGCGCUCGCCACCGCCGCCGCCGCGGCUGCCGCUGCGGCCACGGCCACCGCCGCCACGGCCGCCACCACGCCCCCGGUCGCUCAUAGCCAAGCCUGUCGUGCGGCUCUGCGGCUGAUGUAUCUCCUACAACGCUACUGCUAAGGCUUCUGACGCGCUCCUCUGCUCCCUUGCUACAGCCGAUUUUAUAGCAGCUCCUGUUACUGCCGCGACUGCUGCAACCGCUGCUACUGCUGCUUUGACGGCGCCUCCUGUAGCUUGGCUAGCUCGUCUGCGGCGGGACAACAGGUGUGCCGACAAUGGAGAGCAACGGGUCACAUGCGGUAAGUUCGCGCCAGGGAAGGGCGUAGCAUGCAGAAGUAAAGCUCCCCACAUGUCCAUUGCCACAGCCGCAAGCACCGCUCCCGCAAUGCCCUCCAUAGCCACCACCACAACCUGCGGCUGUCCUUGGCGACCACAACGACCCCGGCAUUGCCCCUUUCAUCAUUCCCUUUCCAGUUCCCACCAUCUACCUUUCCACCAUCUACCUCCCUCGAGCUACCCCAGCCCCAUGUCCCCUGCACGCGCUGCCGCCGCCGCACGUACCCGUCGCCCUGGCCAGCUGCUCGUCACGUGAGGAUAGCAGGAACACGCCGCCGCUGCGUGCGUACACCGCCUGUGGAAAUGGCAGUUGGCGUCGCAGUGGCAGUGGCAGGCACAGGUGCAAACACAUGCACACAGAGUCAGAGUCAUAGGUAAAAAUAUGCACACAUGUGCAGAGGCGGAGGGGGGGGGGGGUUGGCGGGGGUUGGCGGGGUGUGGCGACACCGACAAGUAGAUGGUGGGCCGCUGCUGGAAGACUGGGAGGGCAAGAAGCAGGAUGGCUAAGCAGCAAGGCAGGCAGGGUGUGUAACCCACCCGUCCGGGUUUGAGGCUUUUGAGCUCUGCCGCCGUCACCAGUGCCUGGCGGACCUGCAGCGCAGCCGGGGUCAACCGUGGAGUCCCACCCAGAGGUAAGCAGCGGGCGACCUGCCCUGCCCUCACACAAGCUCUAUAUGCGUCCAUUUUCAAUUGUGCAUGCAAACUCGCGUGCGCGGUCGCCUUGCGAAAAGGUUGCAACGAGAAACUUCAUGUCGCGGCGGCGUCGCAUGCCUUCCAAAUCACAGUAUUAAGAGUGCGGUAGUCUAACGGCACAUUACGCAUUGUUUUACCUGAAGCGGGUCUGGCUGGGGCUGCUCUCCGCCGUUGGCUGCUGAAGGUCCCUCGCUCCGAGUGCGCGUAUUCCUUGCAGGCUCGGCACUCAUCGAUAGCUUACUGCUCACUAGAGUUAUAGCAAUAAGAACUAAGCGUAAUUAUCGCGCAGGAAGAACCAGUUACUUUGCCAUGCACACAAAAGCCUGGUCAACGCAACAUAUAUUAGGAGUCGUGUGAGAACGGUAUAUGGAGCAUGAGCAUGUCAGCGGUUGCGGGCCCCAGCCCCUCGCCACGCCCGAGCCCGAUGCUGGCGCGUUGAGGCCCAUGCGCACACUCGUUGCCCUCUGCCUCGUCAAGUGCGCCAACCCUUCACUUUGCGUUGCCAGGCGGCCACCACGAGCAGUCCCUCCCCAUCCUCGCUAUUCCGCUCGCUGGGACACGACUGGCGGCUACCUCGCGGCCGCACGAUCUGCCACCUCUGUCAGGGGGAAAAACGAAGUGUCUCAGUGCCAGACCCCAUGCCCCAAAAUCCCCAGGGACGACUGAACCCCCCCGGGCAAAACCUUGUCGUUCAGGAGGUAAAACCUCUUUAUUGAAUCCAAAGUGUUGCCCAAUCUACUCCUCUUCACGAGCGCUGUCACGCUGAGCCAUGGGCGAUCCUGUUCUGAGACUGCAGCCACACGCGUCAUUAACGCGGGAUUGUAUCCAAGGAAAUACCCCCAGCCCAGCCCAUCCCGCGUUCAACUCUCCAUACCGUAGUGUGCUGCAUGGAAAGCGUGCAUUUGCAGCGCUGCUCAAGAUAAAUGCAUGCGUACCAGAGCUUGAGAGCCCCGCCAUGUCAGUGCGCAUAUGUCGAGUGUGGGGACACAUGUCGACACGUCCACGCCAGGGCGUGCAAAUUGGCCGUCCCAUGCUUUGUUUGUGCUUGUUGCGGCAUAACAUGUGUGUGGGCACGCUGGUUGCGGCUUAUGAUGCGCUGGACGAAGUGCGGACCCGCCUCCUUGAUUGGCGUAGCGGUGACUGCAUGGUUUCGUACUGCACGAAGGUGUGGCGAAAGGUGCUGCAGGACCGGUGGGACCGCCGUCGCCGGUGGCCGCGGCCACCCGCUUUGCGGCGGCUGUCGCCCUGUUGCCCGCGGGUUGGAGGAGGCUGCGCGCGCUGCUCGGCCGGCUCGUAGUUUUCGCUGACACGCAGUCCUCACGCUCCGGGCGCGGGGCGCCUGGCCAAGGCGAUAGCACCACACAGACUGAAGCAACUUCGACACGCCUGCGCAGCUGUGAGUUGGGUGGCGGUUGGCUGCGCUCUUUGGGGCGGUGGUUCCCUGUGCCGAAGACGGUGUUUACACCGUCCCCUGCUUGUAAUCCGCAAUAGUAACGACUGGUCGAUUUUGCAUUCGCAUUUCGUUAGCUAAUCUCCUGAGCACACUUCCAAUCCUGCAACAACAUUAAACCACAUCGCAUAUAUGUCCGGACCGCGGGAAAUCAACGCAACGCAGCACGUGAGCCGGGCGGGGUAGAACUAGGCUGCGGAAAUGCUCACCAACCAGCCCACAGAUGCAGGUCCGGCAACACGCAGGUCAUACCAUUGUUCGCAUUGCGAUACCGCACUACCAAGUCAUCCACGAUCAGACAAGAAAGGCGGUUGCCCCAAUGGGGAAAAGUGAGCUGAGCCCACACCGCGUGUACUCGUCUGAGGCCGAAGGUUCCGAAGCAUGCCUCAUCUCCCAGACAUAGCUGGGGUCGGUUUGCACAGGCACCGCCCGCCAAGAAAUGUCCAGCUAUCACGUCCAACCACCUUCAACAUGAUCAGAAAAACAUUACGGCGUAUGCUUGGAAAUGCUUCCACCGCACACGGCAAUACACCAGGCCAUAAAUCCUACACACUCCCUCUCUCUCUUGCACACACGAGCACACACAUACACUUGGCAAUACACCCCCACAUUCUACAACACAAAAAGCUCAUGCAAGCCAAGGCUGGGUACAAAAGUCGUAGCAGCGGUUGUGCAUAAACUGCAUGCGGUGAACUGUUUGAGCAUGCAUAGGUCGACAGUGAGCAAUUUGGCACACAAACACAGCUUGGCAGCGGCCCAACGCUCCAAAGAGACACACCACGAACAUAGCACUCGACCGAAUGCUAUGAAUGCAUACUCCUGCACAGUCUCCGAAAUCAUUAUUGAAUUCGGAGCAUUUAAAAGCACACUCUACUACAUGGUGGCGCACAACCCGCACGGCCGUACCCAAUGCUUUGGUAAUGGCUUGCUUGCUUCUGGUUUCUGGAGUACACUACCCCCCCCCCCCCCCACACACACACUCACUAACACGCACCCACACGCACGCACCCACACAUAAGUGUUGCCGCCUGCCUCCCGACGUGUGCGUCCACAGUGAGCAGUCAGCCAACGCAGUCCCUUCAUGUGUCAAGGCGUCUAUGUUCUGUUUACGGCAGUUCAGUUGUGAUUUAGUUUAUUCACUCCACUAGAUUCUUAUUUAACCCCAUCGCCUGCCACUGUCUGUCAUAACUAACGCAUUUCCAAAUGAACCUGACACACAUGACAACCGCAGCUGAACCCCCACCUGCGGCCCUCUUCUCUUCUGCUGCCGCGGCCGCGCCCAUUGCCAUCCAAUGGGCAACGCUGCCACUGCUCCCGCCGCUGCUAAAGCACCAACCAGGCCUGCUGGCCACAAUGCAUGGGGCAGUCAGUGGCCGCUAAACCGCCACCCCCAUCCCCCUGCAGAUCGCCCCCCCCCCUGAUACAUCGCCGUGCAGGGCUGUCUUGCCCCACAAGCCUCAGCGGUGCACUGCAGGUGCACAGCUCAAUCCCCUGUAACGCCGAACACUAUUUCAGCCGCCGAUAUGGGUGCUGGGGCCGAGGCACUAACGCCCCCAACUACCUGAUGACGCCAACGCAUACAGCGGCCCACGCCCGGGUGCCCAGCAUUGCCAGGGCCGCCGUAGGCGCCACAAGCCGUCCCUCACGUGGAGGCCCCGUUGUUGUCCUUCUCGAUGAUGGAGGUUUCGUCCUGAAAACACCGCCACCAUGUCAUGCCAUGGGGAAGGAGCACGAGUGCACAACACGCAGUGUCAACCUGCUUGCGGUACAGCGAGAUGCUGCUUGCUGGGCUUGGUUGACAGCAUUUUCCUCGCAUGGAGUUGCGCCCGAACCUUCAACCCGCAACCCGGACCGCUUAGUUCAUGAUUAGCGGCCCGUGGUGAAGCGCAAUUUGAACGCUGUGCGAAGUGCGUGUCUUCACUGAGCACAAGUUCGCUCACCUCCUCCUCGAUGUGGCACGGCACGUCCACGCCCGCCGCGAAGCAGGCCAGGCCCGCCACUGUGGGCCCGUUGUGCACGGCCCUGAUCAGAAUCAGCCCCUUCGCCGGGUUGAACGUGUGAAUAUCGUUGCUGGUGUCGGCGAAGAUGGCCUCCAGGUUGUUGGCCAGGCUGUCCACUGUCAAGCAACCAGGCAACGAUGGGAGUAGAGUGGAAUGGGGUUGGAAGGAUACUUGGCGAAGUGGUAGAGAGGGGUGGGGUGGGUACGAGCACCAGCCCAAGCCAUACCCACACCAAGCAAAUCGUGCCAGCGGUUUGCAGGGCGCGGUAACUGAUGCAGGGCAAGGGGCACAUCGCCGUGGAACACAGGAUGAACUGCACUGUAAAUUGCAUUCGCUGACCAAGCUCGGUUGCCCGCAUAUCAGCACGUUCACGCGCUGGUAACCCGUAUAACCAACCGCAUUACCUGGCGAUCAGACAAGCGACCCCCACGGCAAGCAGGAAGCGCCAGGCCGGCCGACAGCAGCAUGCGGCAAGAGGCAAAGGAGCAAGAGUCAAAAUGGCUAGUUCAGGGGGCAAGGCACGCCAGUGGAAGGAACAGACAAGCGGGACGUAGGCAUAACGCCAGCACUAUGGGCAAGGGGCGGAGUGCAUCAGAGGGUGGUCAGCGGGGCAGCAACAUUACGGUAACUGGAGUUGGGCGGUGUGAGUAACUGUGUUGCAAGGGCUUAUGAGUUCAGGUGGAUAGCUGUCAUGCUCGAAGAUAGCGGCGCAAUGCACACGACCUCUGCCAGCACACGUCAUGUCACGCACCCUGCUUCUCCUCGUGCAUGCCGGCGGGCGCCCAGCUGGGCACGUCCCGCAGCAGGCACGCCACCAGCUUCGGGCGCUCCUUCAGCCCGUCCUUGAAGACGUCCACGCGCUUCUUGUUCUGGCCGCCGAUCUGCUCCAUCCUCCACAUCUUGACCACGUGCUCUGCGGCAGCAGCCCCGGCGGCAAAGCACAUCGUCGGACUGGACCGACAUAAGCACACACGCAUGCACAAUUGCACAUACACACAACUUUCCCCGAAUGAUGCCCCUGUGGGCCCUGCCUUGGGUGACCCACCCAGGAAGGAGUGGGCGUUGACCACGCCCGCAGCCCAAAGCGUGGCCACAAGCAGUUGCUGGGUCCUGGCCAGUUUCGCAGUCUUGUCCAUGUUGUCCUUGGCCAGGGCCGUCACCUUGGCCUCCUUCUCCUUGGCCAGGGCCGCCACCUCCUUGGCCAGGGCCGCCACCUGUGGGGAGUGACCCGCAAUUAGUCAUACAAGGGAUGUACAGCGCGCACGCACAAGGUCAUGCAGAGGUCAUGAGAAAAAAAGCAGGGGUGCCAGGGACGAGAGGCAACCCCCCUUCCGUGAACUGUCAUUUGGUACCGACAGAGGUCCCGUCGUCGUGGAACUGACACCUGCCGCACAUCACCCCUGGAACUGACCCCAGUCCAUCCGUCGACGCGUGCUUGACCCGUAGAUCUAGACGUGAGGCUCGCAAAUUACCUGCGCCUGUAGCCUCACGAUUGCCUCAUACAACAUCGGGCGAAGCUUGGCCGGAGCCUUGCCAACAAGCGUGACGAUAUCGUCGAUGCUUGGGUCGGCAGCAGCAAACACCAACACUGAGCGAGCCGGCCGGCCGAUCCCUACAUAAGCAGCGUAGAGCGCUCUCAGAAUCUCGCAAGCACAACCAAGGGAAGCAGCAAAGCGCACAAUCUGGCUCGUGCGGUCCAGUCCUAGGACUUACAUUACGAUGUGUAUUUAUCGGGCGUGGCCACAUAAGCUAAAAGCUGCUGAGCCUUGCGCUUAAGGGAAAGAUCCUACAAUGUAUAUAUUGCUCCUUCGUGCCGCCUCGUUCUAAGCGCAUGGUAAUCAACUCACUGGGCGCAGCAGCAGACGGAUGCCUCCUGGCCUUGGCAGGGGUCACCACAGCGCAAGCAGCGCGCGCAUCGACAGGCCGCUGCAGGGCCGCAUUGGCGCGGCUGGCGCUAAAGCACAGCAUAUUCAGUAGGUCUGGUGCCUUGUGAAAAGAUGACAGAGGUAGAAGAUGACUACAGGUGAGGUCGGUUCUGAAGAACAAAUUGCGAUUGAAAGGCUGCGGAAAACGAUAGAGGAUGAUGGGCACGCCGCUGUUUUAACUCGGAAUAUGAGGCUGGCUUUGAAGCUGACUGGCAAUUCAGGUGCGGGAGGUUGACGUCAAUUUGUCAUGGGGCGUCACGCAUGAUGGCAUACCCGCAUCAUCCCGACCCCGCCUUCAUCCUGGGCCACACAAUGCCGCUAUUAAAAGGGGCACGGCAUCAGGAGGCCUCGUGGCGUGUCUCUGCCGAUGCGUGUUGGGCGUUCCCCCUGCGUGCCCGUGAACGUGCCGACGGCGUCGUCCUUGUAUGCCAAGCAUGUCGUGCGGACACGAUGUUGGGGGAUCGGCGGCAUUACUACUGGGACUGUGUCGUGGCUUGUGGCCUGCGUGAGUCCAUGGGCAUGGCGAUGGGGGCACAUCCGGAGGACUCGCUGGGCGUGUGUGCGCGCUCUUACUUGUGGCUGGUGCCAGCUGGUGCGGGCCAGUAUGGGAUGUGGUACUGUGUCGGUGGGGACCUAUUGCGGACACGGUCAUUCCAUGGACAGGCAGUGGUGCGAUGCCUGCGUCAGCUCCGUGGCGUGUGCUGUGGGAGUGUGAGAAUGUGAGGCGGGCGCAGACGUCUCUGCUAACUGCACUCGACUCAUGCAUCGGGCUCAUUGCGCGCUGGCAGAUACAUUAGUGCGGGCGACGCCUGAGGCGUCGGCCCGCGGAACGUACCUUCAUACACUUACCAGACUAGAAGGAUCGACCACCAUCCUGCUCUCUUUCUAGGCUAGGAGUGGAAGGGGCGCAGCCGGGGGCCGUUGUAACACACAUUGACACUGCAAAGCGGGCCUGCCUCUCUUUCCCCUGGCGUUCCGGUAGCUACACUCCAACAGCCAUUCGCCCUAGUUUGGCAUGUUCAGCCGAGCUGGCCAGCACACAGUUCUCGCGCGGCGUUUUGUGAGUUCUGUGAGAUAUCUGGAGCGGAGUGGCGGGCCCCCACCGGCCGUGCGCGUUUGCCAGCGUGUGCAUAGCCAGGUGCCACUCGCGCGAGAUUGACUUUCCGCGGGCCCAGGGAUUGCUACGGUCACCGCUCGUGGAGCUCCAUCGCCAGCGACAUCUUCUUCACCAUCACCUCGCCGCGGUCCCUGAUGAUUACAAUAUCGCGAGCAGCUGGUGUGGAUGGCUUUUAUGAGUAGGGCUGAGUGUCCUGACCAGUCACAUGACACCGGGCUGACUUGUUUAUGUGAGCGUUCCAUAGUUCAAUCAGCAUACAAGACAUUCAUUGCUGCAUACUCUUCGGCCUAACGCAACUCGCUGGCAGUCGUCAACUCUCUCGCCGGGCACAAACUCAUUCCUGUGUUAUUCUGCUGUCAGCUUCGCAUCAGGUCAUCGCUGUAUGUGGUCUUGUAUCUCGAGGACGCUUUUGGACUACUGCGAGUGUGAGCAUGGCGAGCAGCGAGGUUCGUGUAUCUCGCAUGUGCAUGUCGAUGGCGGGCGCUGGAGUGGGGAGUAGUGUACUGGAUUCGUGCAGGGGGGGCUCAGUCAGUUGCUUUGUUGUGUGUGUGGCGAUGUGCGUGUGUGCCGUCUGUGCACUGGUGUGGCAUCUUCCGUGGCAAUUACCGCCUGGGUUCAGGGAGUGGUGCCUUUGUGACUCGUGGCUGUUGCAAGGGCUUCAGUGAGGGUUUCGGACGGUUUGCCCUCACGCACUUGUGCAGCGUGGCGCUGAUGCGUUGUUGCGAGGUGACUGGCAUGGCAUACAGGCCACUGGGCCAACACUUCAACCAUGCCGUGGCCUGCAGCCCCGGACAUGAUUGUGGGGGGGGGGGACUUCCCACCCCGGUGGCAGCGCUUUACCAGAACUGGGUUGGGGCCCGUCAUGCCUGGCUGCGUUGUCUGCUAUGGACCUUGGGCGGCAACGGAUUAUGGUGGCCGGGCAAGGGUUGCCCGCCGCGGCCGCGCUUCUGUCUGGCCGUGUGUGGGCUAUCGGACUGGAGGUUGUGGCUGACUUCUGGGGCGGUUGCAGGCGUUAGCUAGUUUGGGCGCGCGCCCUGGUGGCUGGGACACUGUCCCCUAUGGGCACGUGUUCCUGUCUCGGGGGGCCGACGACCGCACUGUUGUCGUGUUGCCGUAUGACGCUGAUUCUCACCCCCCGUCUCCUUGAUGGGUGUUGGGCGUAUUGGACAGCGCGGCACGUCGUGAGCGCGGUGCCCGUGGCUACUGGCCGUGUGUGCUGGCCCGGCGGUGUGCUGCCGUGACUGUAAGUGCGCGUAGGUAUUGGUGUAGCGAUGCCUUAUGAGCCGCGUAUCUUGUGAUGCUGUGUCUGGUGUGGCUCUGGCGGGCGUUUGCUUAGCUUCGACACGCUUACGCAGAUGUAAGUUGGGUCGGCAGCCGAGCAGGGGCGCGGUUCCCUUUCUUGUCCACUCAUCACUUUGCAGUUACCGGUACUACCCUGAUCGAAACAAUGAAAGCGGAUCCUGAACGCUCUCGUCAAGCUCUAUCCAUUUUGGGGCUGGGGUACAACAAGGGGUGUCAGCUUUGUACAGCUGGAAAAUGGGCUGAGCCCCAUGUAGCGCAAGGGAUGUGACGAUGGGCACCGGCGACAUGAACAGCACCCUUGCAUGCCCAUCCAGCGGGACUGGCCACUAUGCCAACGCCGUGCCGAGGCACCGACAUGCCCUGUCCCCGCCACGCCACGCCACCUUACCCACGCCACUUCACGGUCCAUGAUAUCCCAAAUGCACCUCACCCACAUCCCACUCAAGCACCGCAAACGGCUAGCCGGGCUCGGGCGCGGGCUCCCGGGCCGCGACACAUUUAAGGCUCGGGGACGCAUGGUUUGGCUGUUGCAAACAAUUUCGACAUUCUUGCCCCAAGACGCUUGUCGUCGACAUGUUUUGAUACAUGGAUGUAAGAUAUUUAGGGGCCGAGAGCUAUACUCGCGGACUGAAGAAAGUCAAGAUGUCCAUGGACUCACGAGGUCGCUUCUCGCUCCGGCCGAGUUUUCCCUGCCGCCUAUUUUUCUACAAUAGGGAAUAGCAAUUAAUAAUACGUGGCACUCGCGGUUUGCGCCAGUUUGGCACUUUUUGUCGACGCAGGCAGGCACACACGCACGCACGCACGCACGGACAGGGGCAAUCCUGGGGGGCUUCGCCCCCCCCUGGAUCGCUUCGCUCGGGGGGCUCAGCCCAAAAAUGUAGAUCUUACCCCCGCCCCUGUCUGCCACGGCAUAAAUCCAACCAUGUUUGCAAAGGAGAUUCCGGGACACCGGAGCAUACAUGUAACGAAACAUGAUGAAGUAUAUCGUGAAGCGUGUUCAUGGUCAUGUAAAGACUCGUCAAUAAGUGGCGCCUGAAGGAGGCCACGAAGCUCUUGGACAUGUGCGACAGCGACUGAGGGCCAGCUGUGCGGAAGUCAUGUGCAGCUCCCAGCUUCCACCCACGGUCAGCAUCCAGUCGCCAGUCAGGCCUCACUCCGGCCUCUGCAGCGCCAGUUUUUUCCCACCUGCAGCUAAACCUGCAGCACCUACAGCUGUCCCUGUCCCCUGGUCCCCUGGUCCCAUGUCCCAAAUUUCGCUCCACAGCCUCUGGCAGCAGAUAUAAUUCGCUCUCCAGCACAGACUCUUCCAGCAAACAUCUCACAGUAAAACACUUUGCCAGUCCUUGAAACAUGCCCGAAUCUGAUACCUUAGGGCGCGCUCUCAGCCCCCCUCCCAAAGUCACAGCUUCUCGCCUUAAUGUCAGCUACGCUUCCUCACCUCAUUUUGUGAUGUUGGCGUGUUGCACCGCAUUCGGUCGCCCACCACGCCGUACAUCUCGGGCCCCUUCUUCUGCCUUGUCGCGCCCUGUUACUGCCCUUGCUUUGCACACUGUCGCCCGGCCAUUGUUUUGCUGCACGCCGCUCGCAUUAACUUUACCCUCAGUCUAGCGCUCAUCCGUGGACGCUGGACGCCUGACUGCAGGUGCGACGGUCCCAUCUCUCUCGCGCUGUGUGCGUGGCGUCGCAUUGUGUGUGGUGGAAUUGCCUGGCCGGGCGCCCCGAGCGCGCGUGAGGAAUGCGCAACAGCAAAACGCUCCAGCGACAUCGGCUACCUCAGUCGGUACAGUCACAGCGCGCAAUUUUGUCUCUGCCCCAACUGCUUUUAAUUUGCUGGUAUUAUGGGGGGGGUGGGAUCUUCAGACACUCACGGGAUGCCGCGCAGUUGUUCCCUUGCUUGCAUUACCGACUCGCGGGGACGCUACACAGCUAUUCCCUUGCAUGUAUUACCAACUGUGCGGAAGUCAGGGAUGUUGCUGGCAGCUGUGGGAGAGGCGCAGCGGCGGGCGGAGCUUCGGAUAGCGGUUGCGGUGUGUCAGACAGGGCACGUGCGGAUCUGCCGAACCAACGAGGGCAUGUGUCCUUGCAGUUGCUGCUGCAUUAGGAGUGGCGUGAUUCCGCCUUGUUCCGCCUGGUUUCGGCCUGGUUCCGCCUGGUUCCGCCUUGUUUAGUAGAUUUGGCCGGAUUCUGUCCGGCAGGUUUACUGCGGACCCCAAUAAAUCAAGUAGUGAAGGUCGAUCGGGUGAUUGAAUUAGCGGCUGGUAGACGAGGGCGGUGCAGGUGGCGCACCCCUCAGGUCAAAGCAGAAGCUCGCGACCCGCGUCGGCAGGUCCCUGUUGAAACCAAUGCAUACUGUAUUAGGAAGGUGUCGAAGAACGUAGCGCGGACAGAAUGCUAGGUGGCACGACAGAGGCGGGCCCGUUUCAAUUGAGUGAGGUCCGAAGGAUACGGCCCCAAGAGGCCCCAAGCAUGCAGCAUCUGUGCCUUCCCCUCGCGGUUAUUGGAGUUGCUAGAGAGCUGCGGGGUACAUGGGCUGGUGGUGAAUAUCAGUGCGUGCUUGGCUUGGGCUGGGUUUGUGCCCUACGGUAGGUGUGAACGAACUCUUCACUUCCCGCCAGAGCCCCUCAGAGCCCACCAGAGCCGCAUCCGCAGUUUAGCACACGCCCGUAACAGAGCCCGCCAGAGCCCGCCAGAGCCCGCCAGAGCCCGCCAGAGGCCUAUGAAGAUAAUGCAGAUCCCUCCUGGGGCUGAAACAGCCUAUGUAAAAAGCAGCAGGACAAGGGUGAUACGCACGCACGCACGCACGGACAGGGGUGAUCCGGGGGGAGUAGUUCCAGAAACUCGCUCGCUCGAAACCGAGACGUUGAUUGAGCUCGAAGCCCCUUCACAGUCUACAUACUAGUACUAAUGCGCGCCCGCGCACUAAUUGCCCAGCGCGUGGUGCUCCGAGAUGGCCGCUCGUGUAUGUUGCAGCUUCAUUGACCGCGUCACUCGGCCUAACGCCUGCGUACGUUCCGUACUACAUAGUCAGUGCCGUGCCUGUAUCGGACUUGCUAUGGAAGUGGUGGAAUCAGCGACACCACUGUCGAACGUUAGCAGCCCGCGCGGCCCAUGCGGCCCCACGUCCGCAGCCCCAUCAUAACAACUAGCGGACCGCCAUGCGAUCCAUGGGGCGUGCCCCUAAGGGAGUCAAGUGACAUGGCACCGCAACGUACGGUGUUACAAUGCCGAGCACGAGGGGAGGCGUGUGCAGGUAGUGGCCCUUACUGGCGUAGAGCUGAGGUGAAAGGAGGCUGGUGUAGAAAUGGCGACUGAAGUCUGAGUAUGAUCUGAGUGCCAGAGUCGUAACAAGCGUUGGACCAAAGGUACUGCGGAUGCUGCCGUGCGCACAGCCUCCCGGACCGGUGACCGGGUUGGGGUCGGGGUCGGGGUCGGGGUCGGGGUCGGGGUCGGGGCCCAGCACCUCAUCGGGGAAAUGGAGUCUGGGGAAAUGGGAUCCAAUGGACGCAAAAUCGCUCCAAUGAUAGCAUUCCGUUACAACUCGGAGGGGUGGCAUGGGGUACCGAUCCUACCGAUCCUCUGGUCACCCCAGGAUAGACUGACUUGCUAUCCUUUGUGCCGCGACCUCCAAUCCCAAUCCCUGAGGUCCGGGUUCCAAUCCUCGCCGUUCCUAUCCGAAUCCCUGAAAGCCUGGUUCCAAUCCCUGCCGUCCCAAACCCAAUCCCUCAAAGCCGGGUUCCAAUCCCUGCCGUUCCAAACCCAAUCCCUGAAAGCCGGGUUCCAAUCCUGGUAUCAGUGGCGCCAAUCCUAGUGUUCAGCGCGGGGCCCGUAUCCUUGAAGCCCAGGCCCUGCCAGACGGGCCUGUAUCCUUGAAGCCCAAGCCCUGCCAGACAGUUACAUAAUAAGCCGUAUGGCGGACAAAUAGUAUCCGCCUUUCGAGAGAGUCUAAUGAAGGCGUGGAAGCACGAGCGGCUGCAGUCUGAGCCAAGCACUUUCCCAUCAGACAACAAGCAACCAGGCGUGCAGAUGAGCAAGUACAAGCAUUGGAUGGGGCUGUGUGCGGAAGGAGCGGCACCACUGACCAUGCAAGGGCACAGUAGAGCAUUUAUACCAGUUGCGCACCGCAAGGCCUUGAUGAGGUUCCGCCUAUGCUGCUGGCCGCUUACUGCCAACCGCGCCUAUGGACGACCUAGGGAGGAGAGGAUAUGCCCGCUAUGUGUUGCAAAUGAAGUCGAAGAUGAGAAUCAUGUGCUCAUGCGGUGUACGGCCUACGACCAGUUGCGUUUGGGUAGCGAGAUCGAUUUUACAGGCGGAAUGCAGGCCGUCAUGCAGAAUGCGGACCCAGCCAGGUUAGCCGCGUUACUAGAUUCGCAUUUGGGAGCACAGGAGCAUAAGCACCCCCAUUCGGGGACCAAACUAGCUGCAUAUAUAAGUGUUGCAGGCGUUAUAAGGGCCCCCCGGCCGGAGGGAUGCAGUACCGCUCGCCCAGCCAAAUUCCGGGGGUGUCCCCCGGGCACACAUCCUGAGCCGCGAGAUAUUCUUACCUGGCCCGGCGACAUUCCCAGCCGGCCCGGCCGCAUCCCCAACCUGGCCCGGCCGAAUCCUGACAUGCCCCGGCCGAAUCCCCUACCUGGCCCGGCCGAAUCCCUACCUCCCCCAGCGAAAUCCCCAGCUGCCCCAGCCAAAUCCCCCACCUGGCGCGGCCAAAUCUGCAUUUGCCUAAGUGAACUGCCCUACUUGGCUCGGCCAUAGUGCUUUACCUGUCCACGCUGUAUGCUCCCGGGCCCAGGAGCAUCUCAGGCGCCGUCACCCGCCCCAUCACCCCUUCCCCUAGGCCUACACCCCUAGUCCUACCACCUUCACCACCUACAGACACAAGGCAGUCUCCAUUAUAUCAGGGCAGGUAUUACGGAGGGGCAUGAGCACGCAUGGUCCCGAUCAGCGAGCGAGCGAAUGAAGCAGGGAGGGCGGGGAACUUGAUGUGACUGCUCCCUAAGUUUAGUCGCAUUCCCACAGUAAACUUUUGUUAUGGCAGCAGGGUCAUGCGUGUUUCCGGGCACUGUUCAGGCGCUUGUCAGGAACUGACGAGCCCAAUAUCUCCGUCGCGGUAUUUUAGUGUGCCUUGAUGCUAAAAGGGGUACAGAUGCGGCUUUGUUAUCUAAAUCUACUUCACGCCAGCGCUUUGGUGCUAGGUGGGGAUAAGGAGCCAAUGGCUCCUGGCCGGCACCAACAGCGCUGGAGGUAGCUUAGCCAGCGCUGCAUUUGUCGAUGCUCUCGCGAAGGCACUUCUCGGUCCGCCCGAAUUUUCCCUGCCGUCUAUUUACAUGCAAUAUACAAUAGCAAACAAUAAUACGUAGCAGUCGCGGUUUGCGCCAGUAUGUUACUUUUUGCCGACGCAGGCAGGUACGACGCACGCACGCACGGACAGGGGUGAUCCGGGGGGAGUAGUUCCAGAAACCAAAGCAAACCGACUGAGGGAACCCGAACCGGCCCGUCAAGCCCGCAAACCCAGAGCGAGGAGGUGGUGUGGCCUUAACCUUUAAGUCUCGGGCGCCCUUGAGUUUUGAAUCUUCGGUCUUGCGGUCGGCGUUGUCGGUAGGAAUGGAGGUACCCAGGCUCGCGCGCGCACGACCUAGCUCCGUUAGCUAACACAACGCGACGCGAUCGGAGUACUCGCCUGCUUGGUACCAGAGCAAGGCCGGCGCCACGUUAGUUGGGAGCGCCGGCACCGCAGGCGGACAUGUGUGUUCGCCCCCCCCCCUGUCUCGCUGCGCUCGGGGGGCUCAGCCCAAAAACACGCAUUUGAAGUUAACUUUUGGUGUUUGGUGUUAACUCAGCAUGUUAAGGAGGCACCUUCCCUGAUGAGGCAGCGUGUGAUUAGUGGGUAAAAGCCUCUUGACCGCGUGCGAUUUCUGGAGGGUAAGGCGCUGUUUGACAAGGAGAAGGGCACCUGCUCACAGCGGAUGUACACCGUGACACGGCAGCCUGUACCGCCCAUCAGAGAUGCAACUGGUGCGUGAGGUGACAGACAGGUGUCGGGUGGCGCGAAGCGACAGGCAGAGGCCGCGCAGGAGCAGCGCCAGGUUCGGCGCGUUGCUCGCGCUCUUGCGACCACUCAGAAGCAGGCCACACGCGCAAUUGAAGCACGAGACCCAACCGCCGCGCCGGCGCCCGCGAAGAAGCCUGCGGGGCGUAAGCGCGGCAAGCAACAGGCAGAAUAUUUACAUAAAUACUAUUGACCGCCAAUGUCCUCGAAACCAGCCACCGGCAAGCGCGAGCAGGUGCGUGGCGAAACACACUUCGAGGUGUCACGCUUCGAGGCGAGCAAGUACGUUGGUGGCAAGCUACAGUUUUUAGUAAAAUUCAAGGGAUUUCCUAAAGCGGAAUGGCUGCCUGCAGGAGGACCUGAGCGCCGACGCCUAUCGCGCGCUGCACAAGGCGAUGAAAGCAACGUGAUGCAUCCCUGUUUAUAUAUCUCGCAAAGUAUAUCAAAUUCUGUCGUUAUUUUCUACGCUGUCGCAGUCUGGUGCGACUGGGGAGUUUUGCCGGAAUUUCGCCCGAGUUUCGGCUGAGUUUCUGAGUUUCUCGCGAGUUUCUGUCGAGUUUUUGCCGAGUUGUAACGGAAUGCUACCGCCAAUUUCCGCCGAGUUCCCCUGCGCCCCGCCCGCGCGUGCACACCAGCGACUCUCAUGCACUCCAGCGAGUCCCGCCCGCGCUGCUGCCCAACUGUCAAACAUGUGAAGCCGUGUGCGCCAAGAGGCAGCUCAUGGAAACCGGGUCAGCCCCAUGCGUCUCUCUGAGCUUACACGCAGCUCACACACGCAGCUUCCCAGACGGCGCGCGCACGACUAAGCACUCCCACUCACACGCCGCGCCAACCGCCAGCCUCCGCCGUGUUCCACCGUGCUCAGACGCAGCUUCGCACACGCGUGUGCGCUCAACUGCCUGCUCCCACUCGCGCGCCUGCCGACAACCGCCAACGACCCGUGUGCGUCACUACAGUCAGGUAGCUUCCGAGCCGGGCCGCCGUACAACUACCUGCUCACACUCGCGCAGCUGCCGACUGCCACGCUACCUCCUGUACGGCUGAGGGGGGUUGGGGUGCCGUACACGAGUUAGUUGGGGGUUAGUCGGAGCUGUCCCAGGAUGAAGGUUUAUCUAUUUUUUCAGGAGUCCCCUGGCUUUAGUUCGUCCAGGCAGCAUUCGAUGGCCCCUGCGUGCUUGCACGCUUGGGUUGUCCUCUCUUGUAUUACCGCAAUCAAAACAUGCAUGUUUGAGCAUAUGGAUGCGGAUGUUACAGAGGGGACAGUCCCAGCUCCCGAAGACGCCGAGCCAUCACAUGCUAUCAGGGCCCAACCCCGACUUUGCUGCAAACCCUCCCGCGGGCAAAGUCCGUGUGACUCCGCGCACAGUGAGUCCUAGCCAAGCCUCAACCCGCCAGAGCCCCACCGCUGUGCCUCAACGCCACAAGCCUAGGCACAGGAGUGCCGGGAAACGUCUAGGCCGCAGGACACACGCACAGCGCACGCACUAACCAGGGCGCGGAGCAUAUGGUGCUGCGUUGGGCCUCUAGACCUGCUUGUAAGGCGCUUCCCGAAAUCCGCCAGGAUGGCUACGGAAAUUCGGCUGACCCCCAGGCACAACGACCGACCCCCAAAACUUCCUCACCAGACCACCUGACAAGACUAACUCAGCCCCUGGCCACUCAUCGUUGCGGAAGUUUUGCGCCGAUGGGGAGGGGGGGGAUUGGGGGGAGGGGCACUCCCUCCCCCCGCACGGGAUGCAAGCAUCGCACGGUACCGUAGUGUAGGCACCAGCAUAUAAGCACGGGCGGUGUUCCUACGCGAAGGGGAGGGGGGCUUCGGGGGGCGCUCGCCCUCCCAUACAGGAGGGCGCUGGCGCGUGAACGGACGGGCGGCGAAGCAGCCAGGGCGCGGCAGUCAGGCACGUUCGUGCGGGGCGAAUAGGCCGCGGCCAGUAAGUUUGCGCCGAUGGGGAAAGGGGGGGGGGCGUUGGGGGGAGGGGCACUCCCUCCCCCCGCACGGGAUGCAAGCAUCGCACGGUGGCGCAGGCACCAGCACACAAGCACGGGCGGUGUCCCCCCCCCAUACAGGAGGGCGCUCGCGCGCGAACGGACGGGCGGAGAAGCGGUCAGGCGCGCGGGUCAGUUCUUGCGGGGCGAAUAGGCCGCGGCCAGCACACCAGCAACAUAGAGAGCUUCCAAAUACAUUAUGACGAAUGCCAAGCCGCAAAGAUUGCGCGAUUUAGGCUGUCAGUCAAUCAGUCAGCAGGGAGCACUGUGCGCACAUAUUAUGUCCUACAAAUAGAUACUUAUUCAAUACAUCCGAUGAUCUCAACGAUGCACAGUAAGUCGCAUCCGCGGGCAAGCUUGUUGGUGGUGCAUUUGGCUCGCUCGCUGCGCUUCAGGGGAACCGUCCGCGUGUAGAUAAUACAGAUCAUCUCGAUCUAUCUAAUGAAUACGAUGAAUCACGCAUAUGCGCCUUGGGGAGAUUGCACAAUGGGGGGCAAACCGGUCCCGCGCUUCGCAUCCCUUCGGCCGAUCUUUGCGCUUGCAAAAAAGUAAAGGUGCUGGGCGCCCUGGCUAUUCUUUCACAUAAGAGUCAACGCGUUUCGUUCACCCACCCCACAAAGUGCAUCUCCUUUGACCAACGUUUUCUCACAGCAAACGCUGUCAAAAAUUAAUGGCGCGCCGCUGGGUUGGGCGUCAGGGCGCAAAUAGUCAGUUACACUUGGUCGCAGCCUUGAAAGCGGGCUGGGGCGCACGCCACACCCCAAAAACACGCCAGGAGACACACUUUGGAACAGCAUGUGUAGAUGAGUGGCUGCAGCACAUGCACGGCUCUGCGGCUGGCACCUACGUACCGCCGUGGACAGCCGCCGCCACCGCCCUGGUGCAGCAGCUACACACGGCCGCCCACCCCCUCUGCGUCCUGACGAUGCAGCGGGCGGCCGGCGGUGUCGGACCCGCUGCCGAUGGCUGUGCAAUCUUCGGCCAGCCGGUGGCGGCAACCUGCCCGGCCCUCGUGCGCCUCCUGGGUGCCCUCAGCUACCUGCCUCCGGUCACAAUCCUACGCCCGGCUGUGCUGGUGCCAGGGCCCUGGUGCUUUGCACUUCCGCUCUGGGGCAAUCCAGUCUUGCCAUGUGCGGCGGGGCUUCAGGCGGGUGGCUUGGAACGUGACUUCCCAGCUCUCAUGGCGCUGCCGGGUCUGCUCACGCUCGGCACGGCAGUGCGGUGCUGGGAGGCGCUGGCCGCGGUGCGCCAGCUGGUGGCUUCCAAGCCGGCUGGUGCGCUCGGGCCGCGCCUCGCACGCCGCUGCACUAUACAGUACAAGCGGUCCGUCCUGCGCCCCGUCCUGCGCAUUACGGAUAUGGCGCGCGUGCCGCCGGAGCUGCAGUCCGGACCGGAUGCUGCUGCCCAAUUCUCCGCGCUGCUGGCCCGUGUACCGGCGGCGUGGAGGGUGGCGGCGUCGGCCACGCUGCAUGCUCCUGGCGGCGCGGCCUCCGCGCCUCCUGCCCCCCAGGUAUGGCUGCUGCUUGCGCAGAGCCUGGGGUGGCGGCAUGGCGCGGCUGACGUGCCCUUGCUGACCCUUACGGUGAAGCAGGCAACCCAGCUUCAACUUGCGCCUGCGUACGACGCGCUCCGCGUGCGUCACUUGGCCUUCAUCCAAGAGGCCCACAGCGGCGCCGCGCCGCCAGCGGAAGCGAUUCAUGCGCUGCGGGCGGCCUUGGCGCGGCUGUGGGCUUUGGUGUGGGAGCCGCGACACAAGGAACCGCUCUGGCGUCUGGCAGUCAAUGGGUUCACGGGCUUUGGGAUGCUUGCGGCGUGGGCCGCAGAUGGACGCGUGGAGAAGUGCCCAUGUGGGACUCAGAUGACUGCUGGGGCUAGGGUUCAUCACUUCUGGGACUGUGUGGUGGCGGAGGCUCUGCGUGAUGUGAUGCGGGAGCAUGCGAAUGUGGACAUCACACGGAACCAGUUGUGGUUAGUACAGGCGCCACCAGGGCUAUCGCAGGCGGUGUGGGACAUCGUGUGCUUGGCUGCUGUGGCGGCCCUGGAAUACGGCCGACAGCGCCUUUACGCUUGCCGUGAUGCUGCAGACCGGACUGCGGAGGUUGCUGUUGUGCGAAGGAUCGGUGUGGAGGUGAUUGCGGACUUCUGGUCACGGCUGGCUGCGUUUGUGAGUCUGCGUCGGCCUCCGCGCCGCUGGGACCUUGUCCCGAACCAGCACCCAUUCCUAGCGUCAGAUGAUGUUGGAGGGGUUAUUUUGGUAGGGCCAACAGCGGACUCGCCACCGGCCUCACCCUAGCUUGUCAGCUUAGGGACUCGCAAGAGGUAGUCUUAUGACGCCGACCCACGGCUUAGGUGAGCAGCGCUAGCGUUUGCGGUGAGCCGGGCCUGGGGUUCCUCCCCUCUCCGGAGGCGAGGAGCAUGGGGGUCAUUCGGGGAUCUCUCCUCGGGUGAGCGUGCGUGUCUCGUACGUUUUUGGGGCCCUGGCUAGUCCACGGCUGUCGUCCCACAUGUAACCUCUAUCAGCUAAUUAUGCGGUACAUGGUGCAGGGCAGUCUGUACUGACUGUUCCGUUGUGCUGCGCUGUCCCGGCCGCCCCUGGACCUCCCGCCUCUCACCCACCAUGCCCCACCCCUUGACCCGGGUAGCCGGGUUGCUUCCUUAAGGGGCUACGCUAGCCCGCCCGUAACCAGUCCCAUCGCACCCACUCCUUUCUCAGCCCCAGCCCUCUGGCAGUAGCACGGGAGGGUCAGGAGUGGGCAGUGCGGUAGUGCACACCUCCAUGUCUCCAUCCGCCUCCAUGGCGGGGGGGGGGCACAGGCCAACAGUCCGAGAGGCAAAUUUGUGCCUGUCACUUGAGUGCACGUGCCGCGGCAUGCGUUUGUGUUUGGGGCAAUCGCACGUCGUGAUGGGCCCAGGACGCAUCAAUUAUCCUGCCUCUUCGUGCCGCUGUCGUACUUCCAUGUGCGAUGGUGCAUGCGCGACGCAGCGGCUGUGGUCUUUCCUGGGAGGGGGGGGGGAAGCCCACGUCUAACCCAACCUAUAGCGGCGGAGCCACGUCUGAUUGUCUGACUGGACAGUAUUCCGCUGACCACGACCAUGUUCCCCACUUUAGUCCUGCUUGUCGCCCAACAGGUGUGGGCUGCUGAUCACAGGCUAGUUGCCCUGCUGCUGCGCGUCAAAGACCACGUGACCUGCACCUACGCCUGCACCUACGCUGUUGUCGGCGCCCCACGUGCGUGUACAAUGCGCAUCAGCAAACUUCCAGCCAGCCAGCAACUUGUCGGUACAGUAACUCCGGCGUUCGACCAGCCAUGCACUCCUGCUCUGCCGCUGCAAACUGUUUGCUGUCUGCUUGGGGUAUGGGCGUCAGCUGCACCCUAUGGGACCUCGCCAACCUGCCUGAACCCUGUCCCAUCACACCCCCACGUGCGUGUACGGAGGCGCAGGUACAGACCGCUGCUGCUGCCAGGUCCCACCCUUGUGCCUGACGCUGGUGCUGCGCCACCCGCACCUGCGCGCGCUGAAUAACCCGCUCCUGCGUUAUACCCCUCAAGAGACAGCACGGCACUUGGGACCGGAACCUCGGAAUCACGUACUCUUCACGUUACAGCAACGCUACUAGCGAGACAACGACGCAACCAGCGCAGUGGCUGGACAGACCCAGCGAGGCCUCCUCCGCCGCGGCGAUGCACCCGCCGCCAGCCGCCAGGCGGGCGCGCCCGCCGCCGCCACCUCAAAUCGCUGCGCCCUCCUCCUCCGCCACUGCCGCUUGCUAGGCUGCUGCUGCUGCCACCGCUGCUGCUGCAAUUCCGGCUGGGCUCGCUCCGCCACCAAAACCACCACCGGCUGCUGCUGCGGCCAUGACGGCCGCCGCGCUGUUGCGGCACACCGGCAUAUCGCGACGCCGCGCGCCUACAGGCGGCGACCGCGGCGACCACCCUUCCGGCGGGUGGAGUCGGUGGGGAUGGGGGUCACGUCCUCUGCAUGGUGAAAUAGAGAUUGGGCACACAACGGUCAGGUUCGGGAGCAGUACCAUAAUAUGCAAUGUAAAAGAGGCCGCACAUGGGUGAGCGCGCGGCCGGAGAUAGCGCAGGGGCACGGGGAGCAGCGCGCCUGCGGGGCCGCUGGCUGGGACUGCACGAUGCGCUGGGCGCCUGCGGAAAACCGUGACUGCGCUGGUGCAGCAGCAGCUGGCUGGCUGGGCGCCUGAGGACGAAAUGCACCGCGCGACGUGUGCCGCACCAGCGCGCAUCCGCCAGACAUCGCCACGCUGCACUGCGCCAGCACAAGGCCCGGCACUGCCGCCCGUACUGCGGCGGUCAGCAACACCGCGAGGGCCGCCGCAAGCCGCCGAGCUGUGCACGCCGCAGACUUCUGCAGUGACUGAAGAGUGGUGUGGCCACGCUGGUAGCCUCAGCGCGGCCCUCCGUGCGCAGUGCAAGCUCUGCUUCCGGCACGGCUGCCAGAGCUGUGCCGUCAACCCGCCACCGCCCAACGCGCCCCAAGCACCGGCCUAGCAAGCCAAGCUGUGAGGCCGAGAGGCACGGGCCAGACGGCGCUGCUGCUGCGGGCCGCUGCUGCUGCACGGAAGCGUCAACUAGCCGGUACGUCUGCUGGCUGCCCCCGUCACGCAGACCGCGACCUCCCGGCCAGGCCAAGGUACCAAGACGCGGUGGCGGCCGCCCGCCAGACCAGCCCACAUCCCCGGCCUGCGGCGCCUGCUUGCGUGCGCUGCUCCCAGCGCUGCUGCAUGCGGGAGCAGCAUCACCCCCGACGAGGCGGCACCGGACGCGGGUCCUCCGUGGGCAGCCGGCGCUGCCGUUGACGCCUUGCGGCUCCUGCUCCUGCUGCCGCUGGCGCCGCCCGGACCCACCAUGGCUGCUGCGGCUGCCCCAAAUAGGCGCCAGCAUCCAUCACCAUGGUGCUACUGCCACCUCCGCUGUUGUCCCUGCCACUGACAUAAACCCUGAAUGUACGAACACCGCCUGCCGAGUGGCUGCGCCACAGUCGGUGCCGUGCGCCUGCUGACGCGGACGUCUCCGCUGCGACUGCUGCCGCCAUGAGUCCGCGCUUGCUCGCCGUGAUCCGUUUCCUCCACAUGCCGCCAGCCGCAAUGUAUGCCCCAGCCCAACCUAUGGUCAAGCCCCUCCCGCCCCCUACAAAGGCCAGAUCAUCCGUGCAACCCAGCGCGCCGGGGCACAAGAUGGCAGCACUGCCCCCACUUCAUGCAAUCGUUCCCUCCCUCCCUAACCUCCCUCCCUCUCCCUUCCAUCCCCUCCGGACGUCCUCGACACCCCACCCACCGAUGCGGCCAAUCUUCAUGCCCGCGCGGGCCAGGGCACGCAGGGCGGACUGGGCACCGGGGCCGGGGGUCUUGGUCCGGUUGCCGCCGGUGGCGCGCAGCUUGAUGUGCAGGGCAGUGAUGCCCAGCUCCUGCACGCAGCAGAAUAAAAAAAUGUACCCAGCAUGAUUAGCCCAAAGCUCAGCAUUAUCACAAAGCGGGCGCUCCCGAGCGCUCCAUCACUGUCAAUCCUCCCUGUCUCUGGAGGGCUCCUCUACGUCCGCUGAUAGCUCCGGAUAAAAGUGCGCUGGAGUAUUCUGCAACCUGCAGCAUCGCCUGCGCCACUUCUCCGCUGGGCCACUGCCGCCCUGCUUGCCCGGCCGCCAAGCUCCUGUGCCGGCCUGCCCGUCCGCUGCCUCGCCAGACUGCUGCUGCAUCUUAAAGCUUCUGCCAAAACCUCCAGGAGCAUCCCGGGUCAAGAAGCGCCCUGCCGCCGCACGCAGUCGCCUGCCUCCUGCGCAGACAUUACAAGGCUGCCCGCAAAGCUUCCAACCCUCAAUUUGCCCAUUUACCUUGCACUUCUGGGCCACGUCCUGCGCGGCAAGCAUGGCCGCGUAGGGCGACGACUCGUCGCGGUCGGCCUUGACCUUCAUGCCGCCGGUGACGCGCGAAAUAGUUUCCCGGCCCGACAGGUCGGUCACAUGCACGAACGUGUCGUUGAAGCUGGCGAAGAUGUGAGCAACGCCGAAGACGUGCUCGCCCUCGCGGACGGUGGGGCCCAGGCUCACCACCUCCUUGGGGGCCUCAUCACCCUUGGCGGCCUUCUUGGGGGCCAUGGCUGCUGCUGUUUUGAGAGGAAGAGGGCGGGCAAGGUGCGCGCUCUCGGACUUGGCGCUCGCCGAGCUGCAUGAGCGCCGUACUGGCUCUUAAGUGGUUCUCGCUCCCUGCUGCUUCUGAAGCACCCGCGAAAAUUGCUCUGACUUUGACAUUAGUGUUCAAUGGCAUGAAAAUUUUACAAUGACACCAAAUAUGACCAUACGCUUGGGUUGACCGGCCAUCCGUUGACGAAGCCGGGCCGCAGCGCCUGUCGCAUACACGAUGGGACAAGGACGCAGCCGGCACGUAUAUGCUUUCCAGCCGCUCCCAUGGCCCGAAUCGCUGCACGCCUUUCGACUCAUCGACCAGGUGCGAACGCCACGCAUGUCCCACAACCUCCCUGCAUCACUAGCAGUCACGACCGUCUCAUGGGGCCUCAUCAUGUCCAAAUAAUCGCUAUGGCUCUAGGUCGGGCAUGAUACAGGUCACCUUGCCCGUUCGCCCGUAUGCCCCCGCGCGACGGCACGGCUUUCCUGCACCCAGCCUUGUCCUCGUCCUCCUCAACCCGAGCCCAGCCAUUCUCACUAGACCCUAUCACGUGCAGAUAUGUGGCAUCGCAACUACUUAUGCCACAACACACCUGGAGGUGCACGCGGUGCGCGUGCUGGACAAGGUUGGAGAGCUGCAGGUGCGAAGAACCGCGCAGCAACCGCCCCCCAUUGCGAAACCGGCGGCCAGUCAGCCCCUCUCAUCUUCCUCCUUCAUUGCAAGUCAGCGAUCCUUCCCACGUCGCGCCUUCCAGGGUGGUCCUACAAAGCCCCUCUCGCCCUCCAUUUCCAGUCCCCACAAACCCCUUCAUGCCCACCCCCGAACCACACCUUCCCCUGCACAGCGCCUGCCGUUCCAGUGGGAGGUGUUUGAGCCCGACUUCGAGCGCCUGCGCGGCAGCCACCUCAUGAAGCUGGCCACGGAGCUGCACAGCGCACUGGACAAACUGGAGGGGUGAGGGUGUGGAGGCAGGGGGUGGUGGAGGUGGCGUGGGGGGUUGGCGGGGUGAAUUGUGAAGGGGUGGAGCGGAAGGUGGAGCGGGGGGUGUAGAGGAAGGGGUGGAUGGCGGUGGAGGCACGGUCGGUGGCGGGAAGUGGUAGGGGUGGAGGUAUCAGGUGGUGGGGCUGGCAGGAGAUUAACCCAGGAGUGGGUGGCGACAGGGGUUUGUGUGGGGUGUGGGCGUGGGCAGGGCGUGGGAUGGGGCUUCAUGUGGUUGAGGUGUGCGCAAGCGGAAUGCCGUGCGGUGCGACGCGGGCUGGGGGCGUGGGGCGGAGCGGUGCACUUGGACACAGAGAAGCUGGGGGCAAGUGGAUGAGUGGCGAUGGGCGGCAGGAGGGAUGAGGUGCCGCGCUUCAGAGGGUGUGGGCAUAGGUGGCCCUGCGUCGGGACUGCAUGGUCCCAGCUUGGACACAUACCGCACGGCCCGGCGCCGCACGACUCGCAGCUCCCAACCCGACCAGCCCCACGUCCCGCCCGCCCGUCCGCCCUACAUGCACCCAUCGCCGCUGCUGUGACCGCUUCACCUCGCCCCACCUCCCCCCUGCCCUGGUUUGGGCUGGUAUCUACAACCCCCACCCCACCCCACCCCUGCCGUACACAGGUGCAAGUACGACAUUGGCGUGCUGGCGGAGAAGGGGCUCAUGUUCAAGUGAGGCGGGCAGGGAGGCAUACGCCCGAGCCAAACGAAACAGGCCUCAAUUGUCAAGGGGGAAGGAGGCAAGGAAUACAGGGCGGAGGAGGGAGCGGGGGAAAGAGGAGAGGAGGAGCCGAGGGCGGGAGGCGGGCGCAUGUUCGGGUGGAAGGGAGGGAACUGUGUGCAAGAAACGGCGGGGCUGCGGGGGCUGCGGGAGCUGUGCGGCGUGGCAGGCGGCACAGACAAGCUGUUGUAUGCUGGGUCAGUGAGUUGAGAAGUUGAGGGCACGGCAGCUCCACACCUGCAGCGCCAACCAAAACUUGCAUGCGCCCAAUCACGCGCCUGCACACACACACACACAUGCCUUUGCGCUUAUGCUUCUUUGUGCUCUUCAACACACACAGGUCAUUGCGCAAGGCCGCUGACAAGGUGCUCCUGAUCCUGGCGGAGGUGGAGCAGGUGCGGCUGUGGGGGCUGUGUGGGGCUGUCACCACCGUGUACCGGGGGUCUACCUGCCGGUUGGCCGUCGUGACAUCCCGCAUUACCGUGAAGUGAAGUGUUGGGCGUAUGUGGCUGCGAGCCUAACUUGGGGUUGCGAGCCUAAAGCGGGAUGCGCUUCACCAGACCGGCACCUCUCGCACCACUAACUGCACGGCUGCACCUCGCACGUUCCCUCGCGGACACGGCUUUAAAUCAACUUAACUGCCGCUCCCACCUCCCGCUCAGAUCCACCGCACCUUCCACUACACAUUUGAGCUGGCGCUGUACGAGAGCGUGCGGGUACGUGAGCAUGCGUUCUUGCGUGGGGGGGGGGGGGGCUGUAAGUACCAGCCCAAACAAAACCAAACCAAGCCAAAUUAGCGGAGCACAGGCAGAGGCGAGGGGGCAAGGAGGCUGCUGGUUUGCCGUUGAUUCGCUGUUGGGAUGGAGGGCUACUUCGGGGGAAAGGCCUGAGGUUGCAUCUGGCCGCGUGAGCUACGUGCGUUUUGCUGGCGUCGCGCGAAAGGGACCCAUGUUGUCGUUGUGAGAGCGCCGGUUGGAAACAUGUUGUCACAGGACGACACGCCGUCGCCACCCGGCAGCCUCCGAGCCAACAGCCCGGCGCGCUCCACGCUGCGCACCCCAGUCAGCGGUGGCGGCGCGCGCAGCUUCGGCAGCAGCGGCGGCGGCGCACGCGGGAUGAGCAGCGGCGGCGGUGCCCGCGGAAUCGUCAGUGGCGGCCGCCGCCAGCCUGUGCUGUUGCCGCCUCCCCCCGAGCCCGAGGACAGCGAUUUAUAUUCGCAGACCACCACCACUUCGCCGCGACCACACCUGCAGCAGCAGCCGUCGGCGCAGCGGCAGUUGCCGCCCCGGACAUCUCCCAGUGUGCGGCAGCCGGCGGCUCCGGCGGCGGCGGCGCCGCCGGCGCAAACAGCUGCUUUUCAGCCGCAGGCAAUGGCCGCGAUGGCUCCGCCACCGGUGGUGGCGCAGCGGUCUGUUCGGAUCAUGAGCGAUGCUGCCACCUCGACGCCCACCCACAUGGCACAGCAGCAGCAGGCAGCGGCAGUAGCAGCGGGUGCCGGUGCUACAGCUUCCCCGGUCGUUGCACGGACGCGGGCGCAGGCGUACAAGACGCCGCAGCCGCAGCAGCAACAACAACAGCAGCAGCAGCAGUAUGUGGUGGUGUACCUGCCCCAGGUGAGCGGAGGAAGCAGUAGCAGCAGUAGGCUGUGCGUGCACGGGGGCAAGGGCGGGCAAGCACGCCGUGCAUCGCUUCGGCAUGCGGGCAUGACAACAAAAAAUGCAUAAACGCUUAUACCUGAUGAGUGAUUACCGGUAUGCUGCGCUGCUCGCCGUGUCGGCCCCCGGCUCUGACCUGAAGCAUCGCCUUUAUACUUCUCCUCCCGUUCCCCCCAGGGCCCCGGCAGCAGCGGCCCCCGUGCCAUCCUGGUGCCCUCCGAGGCGCUGCAGCCCGCGCCCAGCACCCCCGCGCCCAGCGGCGGCGGCGCGCCGCCCUCCCCCUCCUCCCUGCAUUACUCCCCCGCGCCCUCGCUACGCAGCGGAACCGUUGGUUCCACGGCCUACACAGGAGGAGGAGGCGGCUCGCCGUAUUCGCCGCAUUCGCCGUACGCGCCGCCGCCGCACAUGCCAACCGUGGCGUCGAUUGCUGGCCACGGCAGCCGCGGCGCCGCCGGGUACGGCUCGCCGUACCAGGCGCCGCAACAGCACACACACAAUGCGCCGGCGGCGGACAGUAGCUACAGCCCCCGCCAACCCCUGUACGGGUCGACUGGUAUGAACGGUACCAGCCCGUACACAACCGCAACCGCCCACCCGACGUCAGGACCGUACGGGCACACGUCCGUGCCACGGCCUGGCUCGCCCCCGGCCUACAAGUACUUCUCCCCGCCCUCCUCGCCGCCCUCCCCUGGGCUGUCGUACGUCACCUCACCGCCGCCGUACUCCACAGCAGCGCCGCAGCAGCAGUACAAUCCGUACGCAUCGCCGUACUCGCCCGCCACGUCGUCCCUGUACGGCAGUCCGGCACCGCCGCCACCACAUCAGCCUCCGGCUGUAGCAACGACCGGCCCGUGGCUGGGCGCGGGGGCUACUGCUGCUACCGCCGUGCCGGCAGUGGUGCCGGGUGCUGCGCCGGGCAGUGUCAUGGUGUUACAGGUGUGUGUGGGGGUGUUGGCAGGAAAGUACAUCAGCAUAACCUUUGUUCUAUGGCACAAGGAUGGCAGCACGUUAUCUCUUGUGGUUGUAUGGUCUGGGCGCUGGUCCGGGUGCAACUAGGUGCAGCUUCGCGUCUAAUGUGAAUGUGAGUGUGUCUAUGUGAAUGUGUCUCCCACUCGCCCUGCUACAGCCUGUGUCGGCCACCAUGACCUCAUCCGGUGCGGUGGUGCUACAGCCGGCCAUGGCGGCACCCGGCGGCAUGGCGGCGCCGCCAAUGCUGGUGGUGGCGCAGGUGCGGCGUGUUUGCUUGCGUCCUUGUGCUCUGUGUGUACGUUUGGAACCCACCAUAGGGGAGCGGGGAGGGGCUGGGGGCGGUGGGAGAUCCGAAGCGCUUGCACAUCCGGGAAUGCGAUUCCAAGCAUUUAGGCGGUUGUGGCACGCAUGCACAACACCAAGCCCGUUGCCCUAAUCCCGCUAAAACCAAGCUCGUGCGCAUGCCCCGCCCCACGUGGCCCCGUUUGUUUUGUAGGACCCCGACUCAAUGCCGGGCGGCGGCGGCGGCAGCGGCGCGUCCCCCGGCCGCCAGCGCUCCGUGCGCUUCUCCCGUACGUACGACGAUGAGGAGGAGCAGCCAGAGGGAUACGACAGGCGGUACGACCAGGAUAUGGAUGAGGCGGCCCGCGUCAAUGGCGGCGGCAAUGGCAGUGGCAAUGGCAGUGGCAAUGGCAGUGGCGGGCGCCGCCAUCACUCGACGUACACGUACGUGGCCGGCCGUAACGCCGCGCCGUACCAGGCGCCAACCGCGGUACCCUCGUACCUCACGCCGUACCUCGGCGAGAUGUCCCCUCGCAUUGAUGAGGGCACGGGCAUGGGCGUUGGACCAGACGAUUGGGAGGGCGCGGAGGAGCGGGCGGCGGCGCAGGGCGCACGUGCGCGCCUGCGCAGCGGCGGCGGCGCCGCAUCGCUCAUGUCCAAGUAUCGGGACCUUUGGAGCACGCCCGCCGGGGCAGUAGCCGCGGCGCCACACGUACCGGUAGCAGGCGGCGGCCAGCCCGCGUACCUGGUCGAAGCAUACGCCGGCGGCGGCACCACAGCCAUGGCGGCGGCGGCGGCGCGGCCGCAGUCGCGUAGUGCCUCGCCGCGGCGCGAGUCGGAAGUGAUGCUUGGCGGCGGCGGCGGCGGCGGGCUGGACGGCACGGCAGCCGGAUUUGCGGCGCCGCCGGCACCUGCCGUACACAACAUCUCGUACGAGCGGUUGGCGGCGCUGGCGGGUUUGGAUCCAGAGGUGCUGGGUGCCGGCGCGGCGGCGGGCCUGACGGAGCGGCGGCGCAGCGGGGCUGCUACUGCCGCUACUGCCGUGAAGCCGUACGUGGUGCCUGGGGAGGAGGCGCUCCGGAAGAUGGAGAGUUUGCUGGAGGCAGCGGGUGAGUGCAGGCAGGGGCUUGACCGGGCAGGCGAAAGCUGCCGUCGUCACGCCCACGUACGGUGCGGUGCGGUACCUCUCGCAUGUGCAUGCCCUGCGCACUUUGCAUACGAAUUCACUCCUUACCAACUCCCACUUCCCACACAACAACACUCCAACGUCCACCCAAACCUCUACCCCUCUUUCUGUCAUCCACCAGAGGACGGCGACUGGGGCGCGGUGGCCGACAUGGCCGCCCUCAUCCGGGCCGGCUGGUGGGGCGACGCCCGCGAUGCCGCGGUGGCGCGUGGGCUGCUGCUGCAGGCGGCGCUGCGGGGUGAGGCAGCACUGGCGGGGCGGGGCGGGGCGGGGCGGGGCGGGGCGGGGGAAUGACUUUGCAUAACAUGGCUCGGGCAUUGGCGUGGCACGACCAGGGCCCAACCCAGGUGAAGCGUUGUAACGGUACCGGUUUUCAGCGGUUAAGCAGCUACGGGCCUCGUGCCGCGCAUGGACAUGCCCGUGCAUGCCUCUGCCUGCACAUGCACUUCGACAUACACGCACAUGUGUGAACCUUAUCACUGUCAUACCGUAACAUAGCAUCGUCUAUUGAAGAUUAUUUGACAUUGGAGUGGCACGAACGCACAUGAACAUGCCCUCGCAUGCCUCUGCCUGCACAUGCACUUUGACAUACACGCACAUGUGUAAACCGUAUAGCCUUCACAACAUGAUAUCAUCUGCUGGUGCUUCUUUACAUUAUUGUCACAAUACACACGCCCACGCAGGCGGCUCCGUGGCGGCGCACGCGGCCCUGGGUGGCAUGGCGGAGCGCGGCGAGGGCCUGCCCGGCGGCCUGCCCGACCAGGCGGCGGCGGCGCGGCACUACGCGGCGGCGGCGGCGGGCGGACACCGGGACGCCGCCACCGCAUACGCCUACCUGCUGGUGAGGGGAAGCUGAACACGCGUGACCCCUGCGUGUAUGGUGUGUGUGUGUGUGUGUGUGUGUGUGUGUGUGUGUGUGUGUGUGUGUGUGUGUGUGUGUGUGUGUAUAUGCAUCGGACUGUUUAGGUGCCACGCCCGCCUCACCCGAUUUGAUGCAUUGUUUGAUGCAUCACAACCUACAUUACUUGACUGCACUGCACCCUAUGUAUCCCCCGAGUUCGGUUUAGUUUGGGCUGGUAUCUACAACCAUCCCCCCCCCCCCCACACACACACACACAGGAGCACGGGCUGGGUGUGGCGCAGGACGAGCCGCGCGCCGCCCAGAUGUACGCCGCAGCCGCGCAGCGCGGCUGCCCCACCGCCGCCAACAACCUAGCCAAAAUGAUUCUGGACGGCCGCGGCGGCAUCAUGCAGGUGCCUGCAGCCGCCGCCACCGGCGGCCGGUCUCGGCGGCGCAUGGGUGCGGAUGGCGUGGCGGCGCCGGCGCCGGCGGCCCCGACGCCCGUUUCCAUGGCGAUGGCUUUGUUCAGGCGCGCCGCGGAAGCAGGCUCGGCGUCGGCGUGGUAUAACUUGGGCGUGUGCCAUCUUCAGCAGAUCAAGCAGCAGCAGGCUUCGCUGAAGAAGCUGGGACUGGCCGGGGGCGGAGGGGGAGGCGAGGCGACGCCGGUGUUGCUGGGAGCAAAGGACGAGGCCGGGAUGGCGGAGGCGAUUCGCUGCCUGGCUGAGGCGGCGAGCCGCGGCCAUGCCCGUGCGGCGCUGCGCGCCGGACACCUGCACCUGCUCCGCAGCGCCGCCGCCGCGGCCGUGGACGCCUUCGCAACCGCGGCGCUCAACGCCGCCGCCGCCAUGGCCGGCGCAGCUGGCGGCGGCGGCAGCCACGGCGGCGCCGCCGGCGAGGAAGCCGCCAGCCCGGCCGCUGCUGACGCGGCGGAGGUGGAGGCGGAGGCUCUGUGGUGCCUGGCACAACUGGCGGAGCGGCAGAGCGCGGUGCUCGAGGGCCGCGCGGCCGCGGCACUGGCGGCGGCGGCGGCGGGAUCGGCCGCUGGCAGUGAGGGCACUGGCGGUGGCCGGCCCAGCGGCGACGGCGGCGCGGCGGCGAGUCGGAUGAAUAGCGUCCGCAGCCGGGGGCUGGCGGCCAGCGCCAGUGGCAAUAGCCGCGCCAGCGGCGGCGCCCGCGCCUCUGGGGCCUCCGGUGAUGGCGACUUCGCCGGCGGCGGCUUCGACGCGGGCGUCGGUGCGAUGGGAGAUGACGACGUCGCAGUGGGCCAGCUGCUGGCGACGCUGGCGGGAACAAGCGCCGGCGGCGACGCCGCGGCUGCCGCCGCCGCAGCGGCGGCAAUCGCCGGCGGCGACGGCAUCAGCGAGGAUAUGGCGGCGGCAGCGGCGGCGGACCCAGCGGCGGCGGCAGCACUCCGCUUCGCAAAGGAGCUGUGCCGCCUGGACUUUGACUGCUGCCGCCAGCCCGGCGCCGUCCGGAGGGGCGGCGCGCUGACGACCGCGGCCGUGACGGCGGCAGGGCUCGACCCGUCCGGGGUUCCGCCAGCACAGCGCGUGCGCGGGCUGCGGCGGCUGCGACGUCAGGCACGCGAGGUGAUUGCCGAGUCGGCGGCGCCCGGCGUCAAGGCUGCCGCUGACAGCGGCGGCGACGGCGAGAGCCGGUCUUCGGUUGAUGGCGGCGGCGGCAGCGGCGGCUUCGCCGCCGGGCUGCCCUCGGCAGGGCCGGUCUCGUCGGCGCUAGCGCGCUUGGACCUGCAGCUGCAGCAGCCGGGAGAGCGCGCGACGCGGUCGCGGUGCGCGGCGGCGGAGCUGAUGGCGGCAGCGGCGGCGCGCGGCCAUGCAGGUGCGCAGCACUGGCUGGCGGGCUGGCAGUGGAGCAUGGGGCACACCGGCGGCGCGGCGGCGCUGUGGCAGGCGGCGGCGGCGCGGGGGCACGGCCCCUCGCUGAUGGUGCUGGGGCAGAUGGCGGAGGCAGGUCACGUGAUGGUGGCGGCGGCGGGGGCGUCGGCCGGCGGCGCCGCCGGCCAGCUGCAGACUGCGGGCCGUGGCGCGGACCUGGCGGCGGCGGCGCGUUACUAUCUGUAAGUGUGGGAGGUGAUGUGUGAGGGUUGUGUCUGAACUCUUUACGGGCACAGAAAUCAUGGUGAGACCUGCCUAUAGCUUGAAGCGGGUACAACAUGUUGAGUUCAUGAAGGCACCGACAGGCCCAUGCUGAAGUAAACAUUCCGUUUCAAUUCGUCCCGUCACAGGCGCGCGCAGGAGGCGGGUGCGCCGGGAGCCCUGGAGGCCAUGCGACGGGUGCAGCGCGUGCUGCAGCGGCACGUGACCCUGCAGGUGGGUUGAACGGUUGUACGUGUGUGUAUGCAAUUAUUGUUGUUGUGGGCAUGACGCACGCGGUUUAAGAAUGUUUGAGGCUCGUCUGGGCUUGUGGGCAGGACCGCGGAGGGGCGGGUAGGGGGUUACGGGUACGGAGGAUACACGGGCACAUGGUGGCAGUGUGAUACAGCGCGGCCUGAGGCCACGGCGUGCAACUCAGCAUUGCCUCUUUGCCAGCAUUCCGGCUCGCUGCGUACUGACAUGAUGACGUAUGGCCCAUCGACACACACACGCCCCCGUCUUAUGCUGCCUACGUGCUGACAGGGACGGCUGGAGGCCGUGGCGGUGAUGGGCGGACCUGCAACAGCUAGCGGGCGAGCGGCUGAAAAGGCUGGCAGCAGGGGCGUGAAGGGCGGUGGCGGGGCAGCUGGUGGUAGCCGACGGUUCUAGUGACUUAGAAUGGUGUCCUGCAGGCAUGGGUGGCCGGGCUGUGUGGCGGACUGCUAUGCUGAUGCUGGGUCUGGCACGGGAUGGUGCUUGCGUGUCAGAGUCAACGAGGGGACUCGGUGCAGUGUGUAGAGUGUAGACCGGCUGGCGUGAGGCGGCGUCUUGGUGUUCCCUGUGAUCCGGAUUGCUGCUUGUCGUAUCGGCGUGGGCUGACGGCGGUACCGAUGCAUGCAUGGCUGCUACAACGCAAGAGUCGCGGCGGUCAACACAACGUGCGCACACGUAUGGCGCCAUGCGUCAGACUGGCCAUCGCGGAAAUGACGUCCUGCGAGGUCGUUGGAACAAGAAACUGCCUCCCCAUGUGCAGAUACGGCAUACUAUCGAAAGCCGCACACCACACAGCAUGUCCGUAGGCACUGGAACACACACAACUGCAAAUGCCCAAUGCAUGCUAUAGCCUAAGAAGCCGUUCCUUUGCGCACGUACGUUACCAAACACGAUGUAGUCAGCAUGGAUCACGGAUGAGUGCAGAGCGUGCGCAUAUGUUCUUUAUCGUCUGCGCGCAAGGGUGUCGCUGCUGUUACAUCGAGUUGCUUGCUUGUGUACAAGCAAGGACAAGCAGUAAGGUGCCAAGACUUGUUCUGCGCUUUUGGCGUCCCUUACAGCAUGGGAGUGGUGAUGACCUAUGGGGAGAUGCCCACUCAACGCGCAACGGGGAUGUAGGGCGGCGGCCUAGCUCCGAGCCUCCGACACCCAUCAGUCAACGCACCGCACUACUGAGGGCAUGCAGGCACACACACCGCACACGUGCACCGCGACAGUUGUCACGGGAACUAAUUGCAACUUCCCAAGUGUUCUUCCUUGAUGUGUGUCUUGGCCAGGGGUGCCUCGGCACGCGAUCCGGUGACUCAUCGGUGACGCAGGGCAGAGGGCGGAAUGGGCGGGCCGCGCGUCCUGCGUUGUGAGUGUCUCAGUGACUAUGUUGCGGAGCGGUGCGAGCCGUGCAAGGGCCAUGGGGCAUCUGUGCAGCAACGCACCGACCCGCCAGGCCACGCCACGCUAGGUGGCCUGCAAGUCUCGCGUUCGGGCCGACGGAAGUGCACGGAAGCCAUACCAGCGGCCAAGGUGCGGAGGUAUGCAUGCUGCGUGUGGGGGCCCUUGACGGUGGGCGGCUACUGCGGUGCGGUAUGGGCCGCUUCCGUGCCCUGGAGCCUGUGCGCUGUGCCUGCCCGGCUCUGAGUAGUGAGCCAGGCUAGAUGACAUGCUGUAACUGCGCUCGGGCCGCCAGGAAUCAACACGGCCGGGCCACACGGUGUCCGGGCGCUCGGCCACCCCACACAGCGCAGGGCCCACGGACGAGCCAAGCAUCCGCGCGGCGGCUGUAAAUAUGCCCAGCCAUGAUUCAUCCAGACGUGUGUCUAUAUGGGCUUGCUAGGAGCUCCCUGGCAGUGCACGAGAGCCAUGCUUGGCGCGUGGGUGGGCAUGUCGACAUGUUUGCCGGGUCCGCAUUUCGUUAGGAUUCGGACUACCCCCACUUCAAGGCUGCUUGUUCGCGAUCAUUGAGGACCACCUAUAUGAUAAUAGGCAAAUGGAGGAACCGACGCCAGGAAUGUGGCGACUUUUAGACCAAGCCUUAGCGGCUCGCGACCGGGCCGGCCGCGCGAGAAUUGCGAAAACAACUCCCGAGGCCUGACCCAAUGCAGCUCAACCAGUGCGACAUAUGGCUUACACAUAUGACUGUAUAUCUAAUAUUUCACAGCGCUCGCCAGCAGCGCCACAAACGUGUGCCAGGUCGGGCCGUGGCACGGUGCCCGGCCAGUGCUCUGCGUGCAGUUCCUAGGCCGCCAUGCCCCUCUGGCGCAUACCGCUCCUACCCCCCGUCCUCCAUGCACCUCCGCAUACAUGCAUAGCAGUCGCCAGCAUCGCAGCUUGGCAAAGCGGCCCGCGCACGGACGCCGCCUAGGCGGCACCCAGCCCAGGGGUGCGUGCCAGGCCACGCGCUGCUGCGCCCGCAGCCGGCAGAGGCUGCAUGGGCUGGCCACACAUGCCGCAGUGACGUGGCUGGCUGGCACACAGCCUGCGCAUAGCGAUGCAGGCGGCCCUGGCCAGCCAGAAGCCGCCGACUCGCACCCACCCAUGCCGUUCGUGGCCCGCCGCCGCCGACAACACAAAUUCAGCGCAUCCCCAGUCGCGGCUUGGGCGUGGGAUUGAUUGAAGGGGCGCCUUCCCACUUCCGAUAGUACCCAGAGCCUGUCAGGCCAUGUGGGGAUGCGCGGAGGGGCGGAGUGGACAGGGCGCGUGCGGAGGUAUGCAUGCUUCGUGUGGGGGCCCUUGACGGCGGGCGGCUACUGCGGUGCGGUAUGGGCCGCUUCCGUGCCCUGGAGCCUGUGCGCUGUGCCUGCCCGGCUCUGAGUAGUGAGCCAGGCUAGAUGACAUGCUGUAACUGCGCUCGGGCCGCCAGGAAUCAACACGGCCGGGCCACACGGUGUCCGGGCGCUCGGCCACCCCACACAGCGCAGGGCCCACGGACGAGCCAAGCAUCCGCGCGGCGGCCGUAAAUAUGCCCAGCCAUGAUUCAUCCAGACGUGUGUCUAUAUGGGCUUGCUAGGAGAUCCCUGGCAGUGCACGAGAGCCAUGCUUGGCGCGUGGGUGGGCAUGUCGACAUGUUUGCCGGGUCCGCAUUUCGUUAGGAUUCGGACUACCCCCACUUCAAGGCAGCUUGUUCGCGGUCAUAGUGGACCACCUAUAUGGUAAUAGGCAAAUGGAGGAACCGACGCCAGGAAUGUGGCGACUUUUAGACCAAGCCUUGGCAGCUCGCGACCGGGCCGGCCGCGCGAGAAUUGCGAAAACAACUCCCGAGGCCUGACCCAAUGCAGCCCAACCAGUGCGACAUAUGGCUUACACAUAUGACUGUAUAUCUAGUAUUUCGCAGCGCUCGCCAGCAGCGCCACAAACGUGUGCCAGGUCGGGCUGUGGCACGGUGCCCGGCCAGUGCUCUGCGUGCAGUUCCUAGGCCGCCAUGCCCCUCUGGCGCAUACCGCUCCUACCCCGCGCCCUCCAGGCACCUCUGCAUACAUGCAUAGCAGUCGCCAGCAUCGCAGCUUGGCAAAGCGGCCCGCGCACGGACGCCGCCUAGGCGGCACCCAGCCCAGGGGUGCGUGCCAGGCCACGCGCUGCUGCGCCCGCAGCCGGCAGAGGCUGCCUUGGCUAGCCACGCAUGCCGCAGUGACGUGGCUGGCUGGCACACAGCCUGCGCAUAGCGAUGCAGGCGGCCCUGGCCAGCCAGAAGCCGCCGACACGCAUCCACCCAUGCCGUUCGUGGCCCGCCGCCGCCGACAACACAAAUUCAGCGCAUCCCCAGUCGCGGCUUGGGCGUGGGAUUGAUUGAAGGGGCGCCGUCCCACUUCCGAUAGUACCCAGAGCCUGUCAGGCCAUGUGGGGAUGCGCGGAGGGGCGGAGCGGACAGGGCGCGUGCGGAGGUAUGCAUGCUGCGUGUGGGGGCCCUUGACGGCGGGCGGCUACUGCGGUGCGGUAUGGGCCGCUUCCGUGCCCUGGAGCCUGUGCACUGUGCCUGCCCGGCUCUCAGUACUGAGCCAGGCUAGAUGACAUGCUGUAACUGCGCUCGGGCCGCCAGGAAUCAACACGGCCGGGCCACACGGUGUCCGGGCGCCCGGCCACCCCACACGGCGCAGGGCCCACGGACGGGCCCAGCGUCCGCCCGGCGGCUGUAAAUAUGCCCAGCCAUGAUUCAUUCGGACGUGUGUCUAUAUGGGCUUUCUAGGAGAUCCCUGGCAGUGCACGGGGGGCAUAUCUGGUGCGCGAGUGGGCAUGUCGACAUGUUUGCCGGGUCCGCAUUUCGUUAGGAUUCGGACUACCCCCACUUCAAGGCAGCUUGUUCGCGGUCAUAGUGGACCACCUAUAUGGUAAUAGGCAAAUGGAGGAACCGACGCCAGGAAUGUGGCGACUUUUAGACCAAGCCUUUGCAGCUCGCGACCGGGCCGGCCGCGCGAGAAUUGCGAAAACAACUCCCGAGGCCUGACCCAAUGCAGCCCAACCAGUGCGACAUAUGGCUUACACAUAUGACUGUAUAUCUAAUAUUUCACAGCGCUCGCCAGCAGCGCCACAAACGUGUGCCAGGUCGGGCCGUGGCACGGUGCCCGGCCAGUGCUCUGCGUGCAGUUCCUAGGCCGCCAUGCCCCUCUGGCGCAUACCGCUCCUACCCCCCGUCCUCCAUGCACCUCUGCAUACAUGCAUAGCAGUCGCCAGCAUCGCAACUCGGCAAAGCAGCCCGCGCACGGACACCGCCUAGGCGGCACCCAGCCCAGGGGUGCGUGCCAGGCCACGCGCUGCGCCCGCAGCCGGCAAGGGCCGCCCGGGCUGACCACGCAUGCCGCAAUGACGUGGAUGGCUGGCACAGAUCCUGUGCAUAGCGAUGCAGGCGGCUCUGUCCAGCCAGCAGCCGCCGACACGCACCCACCCGUGCCGUUCGUGGCCCGCCGCCGCCGACAGCACAAAUGCAGUGCAUCCCCAGUCGCGGCUUGGGCGUGGGAUUGGUUGAAGGGGCGCCGUACCGCUUCCGAUAGUACCCAGAGCCUGUCAGGUCAUUUGGGGAUGCGCAGAGGGGCGGAGUGGACAGGACGCGUGCGGAGGUAUGCAUGCUUCGUGUGGGGGCCCUUGACGGCGGGCGGCUUCUGCGGUGCGGUAUGGGCCGCUCCCGUGCCCUGGAGCCUGUGCGCUGUGCCUGCCCGGCUCUCAGUAGUGAGCCAGGCUAGAUGACAUGCUGUAACUGCGCUCGGGCCGCCAGGAAUCAACACGGCCGGGCCACACGGUGUCCGGGCGCCCGGCCACCCCACACGGCGCAGGGCCCACGGACGGGCCCAGCGUCCGCCCGGCGGCUGUAAAUAUGCCCAGCCAUGAUUCAUUCGGACGUGUGUCUAUAUGGGCUUUCUAGGAGCUCCCUGGCAGUGCACGGGGGGCAUAUCUGGCGCGCGAGUGGGCACGUCGACAUGUUUGCCGGGUCCGCAUUUCGUUAGGAUUCGGGCUACCCCCACUUCAAGGCAGCUUGUUCGCGGUCAUAGUGGACCACCUAUAUGAUAAUAGGCAAAUGGAGGAACCGACGCCAGGAAUGUGGCGACUUUUAGACCAAGCCUUUGCAGCUCGCGACCGGGCCGGCCGCGCGAGAAUUGCGAAAACAACUCCCGAGGCCUGACCCAAUGCAGCCCAACCAGUGCGACAUAUGGCCUACACAUAUGACUGUAUAUCUAAUAUUUCACAGCCCUCGCCAGCAGCGCCACAAACGUGUGCCAGGUCGGGCCGUGGCACGGUGCCCGGCCAGUGCUCUGCGUGCAGUUCCUAGGCCGCCAUGCCCCUCUGGCGCAUACCGCUCCUACCCCCCGUCCUCCAUGCACCUCUGCAUACAUGCAUAGCAGUCGCCAGCAUCGCAACUCGGCAAAGCAGCCCGCGCACGGACACCGCCUAGGCGGCACCCAGCCCAGGGGUGCGUGCCAGGCCACGCGCUGCGCCCGCAGCCGGCAAGGGCCGCCCGGGCUGACCACGCAUGCCGCAAUGACGUGGAUGGCUGGCACAGAUCCUGUGCAUAGCGAUGCAGGCGGCUCUGUCCAGCCAGCAGCCGCCGACACGCACCCACCCGUGCCGUUCGUGGCCCGCCGCCGCCGACAGCACAAAUGCAGUGCAUCCCCAGUCGCGGCUUGGGCGUGGGAUUGGUUGAAGGGGCGCCGUACCGCUUCCGAUAGUACCCAGAGCCUGUCAGGUCAUUUGGGGAUGCGCAGAGGGGCGGAGUGGACAGGACGCGUGCGGAGGUAUGCAUGCUUCGUGUGGGGGCCCUUGACGGCGGGCGGCUACUGCGGUGCGGUAUGGGCCGCUCCCGUGCCCUGGAGCCUGUGCGCUGUGCCUGCCCGGCUCUCAGUAGUGAGCCAGGCUAGAUGACAUGCUGUAACUGCGCUCGGGCCGCCAGGAAUCAACACGGCCGGGCCACACGGUGUCCGGGCGCCCGGCCACCCCACACGGCGCCGGGCCCACGGACGGGCCCAGCGUCCGCCCGGCGGCUGUAAAAAUGCCCAGCCAUGAUUCAUUCGGACGUGUGUCUAUAUGGGCUUUCUAGGAGCUCCCUGGCAGUGCACGGGGGGCAUAUCUGGCGCGCGAGUGGGCACGUCGACAUGUUUGCCGGGUCCGCAUUUCGUUAGGAUUCGGGCUACCCCCACUUCAAGGCAGCUUGUUCGCGGUCAUUGGGGACCACCUAUAUGAUAAUAAGCAAAUGGAGGAACCGACGCCAGGAAUGUGGCGACUUUUAGACCAAGCCUUUGCAGCUCGCGACCGGGCCGGCCGCGCGAGAAUUGCGAAAACAACUCCCGAGGCCUGACCCAAUGCAGCCCAACCAGUGCGACAUAUGGCUUACACAUAUGACUGUAUAUCUAAUGUUUCACAGCGCUCGCCAGCACCGCCACAAACGUGUGCCAGGUCGGGCCGUGGCACGGUGCCCGGCCAGUGCUCUGCGUGCAGUUCCUAGGCCGCCAUGCCCCUCUGGCGCAUACCGCUCCUACCCCCCGUCCUCCAUGCACCUCUGCAUACAUGCAUAGCAGUCGCCAGCAUCGCAACUCGGCAAAGCAGCCCGCGCACGGACACCGCCUAGGCGGCACCCAGCCCAGGGGUGCGUGCCAGGCCACGCGCUGCGCCCGCAGCCGGCAAGGGCCGCCCGGGCUGACCACGCAUGCCGCAAUGACGUGGAUGGCUGGCACAGAUCCUGUGCAUAGCGAUGCAGGCGGCUCUGUCCAGCCAGCAGCCGCCGACACGCACCCACCCGUGCCGUUCGUGGCCCGCCGCCGCCGACAGCACAAAUGCAGUGCAUCCCCAGUCGCGGCUUGGGCGUGGGAUUGGUUGAAGGGGCGCCGUACCGCUUCCGAUAGUACCCAGAGCCUGUCAGGUCAUUUGGGGAUGCGCAGAGGGGCGGAGUGGACAGGACGCGUGCGGAGGUAUGCAUGCUUCGUGUGGGGGCCCUUGACGGCGGGCGGCUUCUGCGGUGCGGUAUGGGCCGCUCCCGUGCCCUGGAGCCUGUGCGCUGUGCCUGCCCGGCUCUCAGUAGUGAGCCAGGCUAGAUGAUAUGCUGUAACUGCGCUCGGGCCGCCAGGAAUCAACACGGCCGGGCCACACGGUGUCCGGGCGCCCGGCCACCCCACACGGCGCAGGGCCCACGGACGGGCCCAGCGUCCGCCCGGCGGCUGUAAAAAUGCCCAGCCAUGAUUCAUUCGGACGUGUGUCUAUAUGGGCUUUCUAGGAGCUCCCUGUCAGUGCACGGGGGGCAUAUCUGGCGCGCGAGUGGGCACGUCGACAUGUUUGCCGGGUCCGCAUUUCGUUAGGAUUCGGGCUACCCCCACUUCAAGGCAGCUUGUUCGCGGUCAUAGUGGACCACCUAUAUGAUAAUAGGCAAAUGGAGGAACCGACGCCAGGAAAGUGGCGACUUUUAGACCAAGCCUUUGCAGCUCGCGACCGGGCCGGCCGCGCGAGAAUUGCGAAAACAACUCCUGAGGCCUGACCCAAUGCAGCCCAACCAGUGCGACAUAUGGCCUACACAUAUGACUGUAUAUCUAAUAUUUCACAGCGCUCGCCAGCACCGCCACAAACGUGUGCCAGGCCGGGCCGUGGCACGGUGCCCGGGCAGUGCUCUGCGUGCAGUUCCUAGGCCGCCAUGCCCCUCUGGCGCAUACCGCUCCUACCCCGCGCCCUCCAGGCACCUCUGCAUACAUGCAUAGCAGUCGCCAGCAUCGCAACUCGGCAAAGCAGCCCGCGCACGGACACCGCCUAGGCGGCACCCAGCCCAGGGGUGCGUGCCAGGCCACGCGCUGCGCCCGCAGCCGGCAAGGGCCGCCCAGGCUGACCACGCAUGCCGCAAUGACGUGGAUGGCUGGCACAGAUCCUGUGCAUAGCGAUGCAGGCGGCUCUGUCCAGCCAGCAGCCGCCGACACGCACCCACCCGUGCCGUUCGUGGCCCGCCGCCGCCGACAGCUCAAAUGCAGUGCAUCCCCAGUCGCGGCUUGGGCGUGGGAUUGGUUGAAGGGGCGCCGUACCGCUUCCGAUAGUACCCAGAGCCUGUCAGGUCAUUUGGGGAUGCGCAGAGGGGCGGAGUGGACAGGACGCGUGCGGAGGUAUGCAUGCUUCGUGUGGGGGCCCUUGACGGCGGGCGGCUUCUGCGGUGCGGUAUGGGCCGCUCCCGUGCCCUGGAGCCUGUGCGCUGUGCCUGCCCGGCUCUCAGUAGUGAGCCAGGCUAGAUGACAUGCUGUAACUGCGCUCGGGCCGCCAGGAAUCAACACGGCCGGGCCACACGGUGUCCGGGCGCCCGGCCACCCCACACGGCGCAGGGCCCACGGACGGGCCCAGCGUCCGCCCGGCGGCUGUAAAAAUGCCCAGCCAUGAUUCAUUCGGACGUGUGUCUAUAUGGGCUUUCUAGGAGCUCCCUGGCAGUGCACGGGGGGCAUAUCUGGCGCGCGAGUGGGCACGUCGACAUGUUUGCCGGGUCCGCAUUUCGUUAGGAUUCGGGCUACCCCCACUUCAAGGCAGCUUGUUCGCGGUCAUAGUGGACCACCUAUAUGAUAAUAGGCAAAUGGAGGAACCGACGCCAGGAAUGUGGCGACUUUUAGACCAAGCCUUUGCAGCUCGCGACCGGGCCGGCCGCGCGAGAAUUGCGAAAACAACUCCUGAGGCCUGACCCAAUGCAGCCCAACCAGUGCGACAUAUGGCCUACACAUAUGACUGUAUAUCUAAUAUUUCACAGCGCUCGCCAGCACCGCCACAAACGUGUGCCAGGCCGGGCCGUGGCACGGUGCCCGGGCAGUGCCCUACGUGCAGUUCCUAGGCCGCCAUGCCCCUCUGGCGCAUACCGCUCCUACCCCGCGCCCUCCAGGCACCUCUGCAUACAUGCAUAGCAGUCGCCAGCAUCGCAACUCGGCAAAGCAGCCCGCGCACGGACACCGCCUAGGCGGCACCCAGCCCAGGGGUGCGUGCCAGGCCACGCGCUGCGCCCGCAGCCGGCAGGGGCUGCAUGGGCUGGCCACACAUGCCGCAGUGACGUGGCUGGCUGGCACACAGCCUGCAACACGCCUCUAUAUGGGUUGAGAAGCCUGGACAAGGAUGUGGAGCAGCCACCGGGCUUCUGCCGCAGCCAACCACUUCAUCUGUGCGCCCCGUCCGAGCCACAAUGACAGACAUGGGUGCUACGCUUUCUGCAUGCACAUCCAAAACGAGACCCGUGAAGGCAUGCGCGCCUUCAAAUUUUGCACGUGCGUCUUUCCAGCCGUGCUCGUCCGCUGUCCAAUGCAUGAGCCGCCUACGAAAACCACACCAAAGAACACACACCGACACACGCACAUACACGCAAACCUCAUGGCCUCUAGGCACUUCCCGGUAACUUAUGUAUAGGUACAGCAUCAAACAUUUAUGUACAAUCGGCCGGCGGGCUCAUGUGCCGUUCGAUGUGGGCGGUCUUAUUUGUAGAGUCAGAUCAUACAUGACGCCCUCCCCAUGUGCGCUCCUGUUCGUUUACGGCCUUCUCGGCAGGACCACAAACGAGGAUAUCCGCAGGGAUUACCUUCAUACCACGUAAUCCGCACUUUAUGGCGUCAAAAGCGCAUCCACCUCAAGUAAGUUGCGAUUAGCUCAUCAAAGGCAGGUGGGUGUGGUCAUGGUGCUGUUACAUCGGUCGCUGCGGCACUGCCGGUCGCGGCCACACGCCUCGCCGCGCCGGAAGGCAGUACGACACGAGUACAGCAGGUCGGGGCGCAGCGGGUUGACGCUGGGGCCAGAGAGCGGCGCCUCACAGAAGGUGCCGCUGACGCAGUGGUUGUCUGCACGCAUCAGCAGAACGAGCAUGGCAGCACGAAUGGUUUACAAUUACACGUGGUUGUGGGAGGUUGAUUGAAGUGCAAGCUUAGCGGUUGAUCCUGGACUCCGGACCAGAAACCCCAACUAAAUGCACGCACACGCAGUCACGCACCUUCAUCGCAUUGCCGACAGACGCCCGUCACGCAGUGCCCGCUGGAGCAAUCCCUGCAAGCGAGCACGUGACGCCAAUAGACAUAGCUAAUAAGUGGGCGCAGGCAGCACGUCAACCACACCAAACCCGACGCGCAGGACACGUACGCGCGCGGCCGCAGCCCCUUUCCUACUGAUAAUACAGCAGAGAACAAAUCCCACCCUGUGCCCCGCAUCCCGGCCAACCGCCCGACCGCUUCAAGGCACCCAUCUACCUGUCUAGGUCGCACGCCCGGCCGUUAGGCACGGCGAUGUGGCAGGCGGAGGGCGAGUCGGAUCGGAAGUUGUCGCAGAAGGCCACAGGGUAGCCCAGCGCCGCGCAGUCCGAGUCCUCGAAGCAGCCUGUCGCGAGCAGACACACACACACGACGUUACAACCGUUUCUGGGACUGUACAGACUGGGCAUCGUGAAGCGCGGCUGCUGGUGGGCCGGCCCCCGCGGCCCCAGAUGCAUGGGGCCAUGCAUGCGUGGCAGUAUGUCGGUUUGUGCCUGUUGCGUGGUCAAGCCGGCGGCUUGGCCCCUCACCGAGGCAGUGCAUGCUGUAGGUGUCAUUGGUGCCCUUGGUCGGCCUGGUGGCGGUUGGAAAGAGCAGGAGUUUGGGAAGACGAUAAGGCGGAGUGCGGAGACAGGGGAGGUACGCACAGCGAUUUUAAUUUCUUGAGGAAGGAAUGUGAUGGUGCAACGGGACCGCGGGUCUCAUCCUAUACACUCGUACGGCAGGUCCGUUGGCUUGCACUAGCCCCAUUGAACCACAGCAGCCGUAGCUCGUCGCUCAAAUGCAGAUUAAACAUUUUUGAUGCGGCACUCACUUGUCAGACGCCUGGCAGUUUGGCACCAUAUUGCAGCUUUGCGACGCUUUCUGCACAGGUGGUGGGCAAUGCAGUGCAGCAUUGAACGUGUGAGCGGGUUGUGGUGAACCCUUCCCACCUCUCUGCAACCGCCCCCAGCCCUUUCAACGCCCCCUCCUUCAGACACCGCAUGUCUAGAUCAUGAUGUUUCACGUGGCCACAACCGCACGCACGGUUUCGCUUUGUCCCUUUGACUUCCCAAAUUAACACACGCGAGCGCACCAGGAUACAAGGAGUUCCAAUGCGGGCUUGCAGGAUGUCAUACGCCGCCGAGGGCAGGAAGAGAGCCGUGUUGCUGGGGGCCCAAGACUCGGGCCCAAUCUGUGAGAGAUGGAGAGGUGCAGAUGGUGUUGACGCACGUUAAGUAAUUGAGUCGGGGACACAUGGUUUUGGGUGGCGGGUACAAGCUUUCACUGCCAUGGCCGCAGCCAGGCAAUUCAUAAACUCACAGCUGCCUUGGGACCUCUGUCCUGCGGGUUCCCUUCCUUUGCAUUCCCUCACACGUAGCACAUGAGUAAAUCUUAACCUUGCUACCGGUAUCCUGGCACAGCCUACCUGGCAGUUGACCGCCAAGCUGGAGUGAGCGUCCUGGCUGGCGUUGUACGGCGCCACCUGGAAGCACCGGCCCGUGUGGUGCGUGCGGUGAGUGAAGGCGUGUACGGAGUGAGUAGAGGCAGGCCUCUCCAGGGGUGGCGCGUGCGCAUGUGGCAUGGCCAACUACUCGAACCCAGCUUGGACCCAACUCGAACCCAGCUCACAGCGACGACGUUACUUGCACCAACGGACGCAAGUCACGCAACAGCAUAUCACAACAACACGCAACAACACACAACAACACACAACUUACCAGCAUGUUGGGACAGAACAUGACGGUGUUGCCCACAUCGCGCAGGCCCGCGGACAGGGGCGGCACCGGGAAGUAGUCCCUGCGUCGUUGGCAGUUUGGAGACCGGGCGGAGGGAGGGAGGAGCAGGCGGUAAGGGGAAAGCGGGAAAGCGGGUGGAAGGAGUUCUGGUUCCGAGCCAGAUGAGGCUGCGGCGACCUUAACUGCUCUCCUGCUGCAUCAUGAAACGCCUGAUGGUUUCAGGGAACCCUGCUUCGGCACAACCCGUUGAAACCCCCAAACAGGUAACUAGGCACCCGUACACACCUGGCAAUCCUGUAGUGCAGCGUCCUGGGCCCAAGUAGGUUGUUGUAGCCGUUACGCCACACGUCAUUGCCCACACGCGGCGCAUUGAACAGGUACACGCCGCCCAUGAAGGGCCCGCGCACUCCAAGGGCCGUGAUCAGACGCAGCGCGGCAAUCGCUGCCACGCCAGCGCCUGUGUGCACAGCAUUUUACAAACACACACACACACUUAUGCAUUAUCCAUACCGUAUGCCGGUGCAUGGCUUGAGUUGGUAGGAAAGAUCUGGGCUGGUCAGCGUGCUUCCAGCUGCUGAUGUGUGUGUGCCAUGUGCAGGCGGAGUUGGUGACAGCAGUCCGUAAGCGGCACCGCCCCAAUGAGUUGCACGUACUAGGGUGUUCAUCACAUCCCCCUACCACAGGCCCUUCUCCCCUCUCCCUCCUUCCUCUCCCCCGCCUCCGCCCACGUUGCCGCUCUCUUACCCAUGCCGUGUCCCGCCACGUAGAUGCGCGAGGUGUUGCCGCCGCCUGCCGCCGCCCCCGCCGGCUUGACGCCCACCUCCGUGUAGGCCUUCCGCACCGCCCGCAAUAGGUCCACGUCGGUGGCGCUGAAUGCCGCUUUCAUGUCCACCUGAAGCCGCGUGUCCAUGGUAAACCACUCUGCAAGCGCGCAUACAUACCGUAUACAUACGUGUACGAGGGGUAUUGUCAUGUGGCUGAGUGCUGUUGGAUAAGGAGGUGGGCGACGGGCCGCAAUAACCACGUGGUGAUAGAUCGGGAGAGGUUUGAUUGGGGUGUGAGGAUUGCGCAGGCACAGACGCUAGCGCGCUCACACACGCAUACGCAUGUACCCUACAUGCAGAAACACUCGCAUGAUUCAUCUUACGUCGCCACACAGGGUUCAGUUCGCGCUACCAAGCGACUCACCUCCGGCACUUUCGGUCUGGGCGCUGAGGGGGGCGAGCCACGAGGCUGCACAGGAAUGAGUGGGGGUGCAAGGUCUCGAUCGCGACGGGGCCCAAUCAAACCAAGCCGGAAAGAGCACCGGACCAGAUAUAGCAGGGACAUAGGUACAGCAGCCAUGGGGCAACUGCACCCAUGAAGAGCACACGGGAGUGGCACGUGCUGGCUGGCUGAAACAGCCCCAGUCUCGUAGCGACCAUCCCCAAGCACAAUUCCCAGGCGGCGCUCACCCCGGUUUUCGUCCCCUCGCAGCAGCACGAACACGUCCGUAGCUGUGCGCAUCACAAUGGUUGUGUACGUCACCGCCGGGGUCGUGCUGCCCUGCUGCGCCGGCUUCACCCGGUAGUUCUUGACGACGGGCGGGGCCACGAUGCCCCACCUCUGUUAUCGAUUGGCAUGGGGGCAAGUGCGUGAGGUGUUGUAGUGAGGACAAGGGCAGUAUUGUAGUGAACAGCCUAGUGAACAACCUAGACGCCGCAGUACCGCCAGUAUUGUCAAACGCCAGAAAUCCUGCUGGCCUGUUCAUGGAUAAAGAUGACUGAACAUCGAUCUGCACAAACCCACGCACAAAGGUGCACACAUGCCGACACACACCCGCGCACAUGCGCCCGGGCCUGGACAGACGGCAGGGCCCAGCAGGAUACCCAUCCCCACCUAUCCUCACGCGCCCCCACCCCCAACCCCUGCCCCAACCCCAACCCCACCCCCCCACCCCAACCCCCCACCCCAAUCCCAUCUACAAGCCCAACCCCAACCCCAACCCGCACCCCUAACCCCGCCUCUACCUGUGCUCCGCUCAUUUUAGCUUGUUGAGUUUGGGCUGAUAUUUACAACCCACCCCAACCCCAUCCCAAUCCCCAACCCCUCACGCAUGCACGCACGCACGCACCUGCAUGCAGGCUGUGAAAGCCUUGUCGGGCGUCUUCGGAGACAGACCCCAAAACCUGUGUGCCAGAAAGAAGGGAAUGUUAUGAAGGAGCCCCUGGAUUAUAUCAUCAAGUAAAUGGCGGGUAAGGGUACGGCCAUUGACGGUUGGCACAUUUUUGAAAACAAGGCGGGAACCGGCAAUGUAUGGUUGCGCGCGCGCGGCACCGAUCCAACUGUUUGCAGAAUGUCCCUUAUUGGCACUCGGUGCGUGCGUGCCGCCGACGUUGCUCACCAGUCGUAUGACGCGGCGGUCAGAAAUGCAAACAGCGUGUUUUGCGGUUGGCUCGGGUAUGGCACAUUCCCGGAGCGGUUGAAACCACCGGCGGCGGUUAGGAAGCCGCCCUUGCACUCGCCGGGCCGAAGGGCUGCAGGCGCGUUUAAGUGCGGUUGCACAUUUCCGACCAGGUUGCAUGCGAGUGCCGAUCCAGCAGGACAAAUUCAGAAAGCAGACGAACAUUGGCUGAAGCAGAUUGCGGCUGUGUGGCUCGAGGCUGGACGCCCUCACCGCCGCUCCUUCCCUGCAGCCGCUGACCCUCUUGCCAUGAACAUCCUACGGCUACUCAUCUCAACCCUGCCUAGCUAGGAUAGCUCACCAACGCACGUCUUCAGGUCGUCGUCCCAGAACUGUUGAAGACGCGUGCCCCCGUUACUCGACGCAGGGAGAUCCGGGCACACGCAGAUGCCCGUGUCGCACGUCUGUAGGACAUACGGUAGGGCAUGUCGCAUAAGCGCACACAGGUGUUUGUUAUCGACAGCAACUCGCCGGUGUGCAGCUUCGAGGCUUUGCAUCGUAAAGCACAUGCGAACCCAUGCCAACCCUUUGACCGAGAGCUGCAUCCUACGCUUUCAUGUGCGCUCCCUCGCAAUUCCGCACCUGUCCGGUACCGCACACUGUGCCGCAGCCGCCGCAGUUGCGCUCAUCGCGUUGGAAGCUGGCAACAGCGACGCAUCCCGCGCCGCACCGCACCUGUUUAAAAUCAUGCAAUUUGUGUGUGGAUUACCCCAAGUCAGCCAGCGCAGCGGAUGGGGUGGCCAUCCUGGCUCUCAGGCAUCCUGGCCUCGUGCCCCGUGUACCGUAUGCACCUUCAAUAGGCACCCUCUCCUGUGACAUGUUGAGCCCCCCCGCAAUAGUCUGCCACCGCCCAGACCGCUCUAGGUCCAUCGGUAAAGGUGCACCUCAGCAUUGUGUCCACAACUUGCCUUGCCCUUGGGGCAGACGCACUUGCCGUUGCGGCACUUGGCGCCACCUGUGCACUUGUUGUUACAGGCUCCGCAAUGCAUGUCAUUGUCCUUCGACAGGUUCACACAGCCGUCGUUUGCCUGUGCAAUGAGUGCGUUCAUAUAAGCAUCUAGGGUCAUAUUGUUUGGGCAAACACUUUGAUUGCGGUGAGCACAGGUCUUGAACGAGCGGCCCCUGGUCAUCGUGCGGCACGCAGGAAGUUCGCAGCACGCCACGCAAGCUGCCACCAACCGACUGAUAGUCCACCGAGCUUCUACCCAGGCGCCGGCCAAAACGCAUGCCGGAUACUUACUCCGCAAUAGGUGGUGCCAGAGCGGCACUGGCACGUCUUGUUAACGCACACCAAGCCGUCGCCUUCUUUGCAGGGGCAUGGCCCCGCUGUGAAUGGGGUCGGCGAAGGCGUCGCGACCCCCACGGCCGAAGUAGAUUGUUUAAGCGAUCGUGUUGAUUGUGUUGCCGAAGCUCGCGAUACUACCAGCGCGAGCGCGCAUACAAGGGCAGUUGAAACGCAAAACGGGCCAACUCUACGUGAAGCCGUCAUUUCCGAAUACGAAUGGCGCAUGUAUGUACCCUUAUCAACGAGUAAGUAUGAAGUUGCGCAGAGUCAAUGACGCGCUGGGGGCCGCGGCGCGUUACGCGGAGAGAACUGGAGAGAAGCUCCCGGCGAAAAGCGAAAUCUGAACAUGUACGUGUUGCGUUUUGUGGCAUGUUAUGUUCGUUGCAAUUCAAUUGCCAAUCCUGAAUCAGGGCUGCAGAUACGCGCCGCGGCGCCGGUCACGACGCCAAAACCGUGUCGGCGCGCCCGCCCCUGCCCGCCCGCCCCUGCCUGCGCCCGCCGUGGCAUGCCCACCGAAACUGCCUCCGCUGUCGAGACAGGCCGCCCCUGCUGAAGCUCACUGAAGUUAGGGGGACCCUGCGCUGACGCUUGCUCAUCCGCAACAUGACAUCCUGAGUCUUAUAAGAUACUCAGGGUAGCUGAGCACGAACCAGCCCAAAAGCUUCUGACAUACGGUACGCCCACUGGCUGCGAAGCUGUUUCUGGGAAUCAGUGCUGCGCAACCGAGCCGAGAACGUAGCACUCACGCGCGUCGUACGGCCCGCUAGCCUUUUACACGGCUUCCAUUGCAGUGCUCCAAGCAAGAUUCACACAAUACGAUAUGGCCAUGGCCCUUGCCACGCCGUUUGUCAGAGUUGCAUCCUGCAGUCGGCUUGUGGUAAAAUGCGAUGUCCAGUCAGGAAGGUGGCUGUGCCGUCAUGCAUUCUUCUUCAACAAUAUUAUCAUCUCGGUCCAGCAUCCGUGACUCCGUGGCCCCGUCCAAGCUGUCCGCCUGUCCCGCACCGCACAACGUGCAACUCCAUACCGCAACAUGCACAUACGUGCGCUUCCCAUUCCACCCACUACAAAAAUCGGCUACCGCUGCUCGCCGCGCCUCCACCGCCCUUGCCACUGGCAGUAGCUGCAGCACUGAGGUCAGACAGGCUCAACGACAUCCCCAGAGGCGGCGGCACGUCUCCGGCUGUGGCCGGCACUGACAUCACUGCCGACCUGCCCACCGCGGGCUGCUGCUGAGCCGCCACACCAUCGCGUUGCGCACCACCGCCACCGCCACCCCCACCGCCUGAGCUGCUGCCCUCGCCUCGUCCGCUCCCCCUGGCAGUAGCAGGCGCGGCGGGCAGCCGCGGCACAGGCAGCCCCGCCGCCCGCAGCUGCUCAUCCAGACUGCUUCUCAGCUGUGCCACCAUGGCCACCGUCGCCGUCGUGGAGGCGGGCCUUGAAGCCGGCCCCGCCCCCGCCCCCGCCCCGGCAGCCGCAGCCGCGGUCUCGUGCUGGCUAUGCCAUGCUGACGGCGGCGCCCCGCCACUCCGCCUCACUCCAAUAAUGGCCUGCUGCUGCUGCUGCUGCUGCAUGGUGCCGCCAGCCGCCGGCCCGGCCGCCGCUGACGUGGCCCCUGUCGCCAGCCGCUCGCUCCUGAGCUCCGCCAGCCGGGCCUCAUGGCUGGCCGCCACGCCGGCGUGCCGCGCCGCCUCCGCCUCCUGCGCCAGGCUGCGGUGCCGGUGCUCCCGGCUGGACAGCAGCGCCCGACCCAACAGGCUGUCCAGCACACCACCGCCACCGCCACCAGCAGCACCAGCACCAGCAGCAGCACCGCCACCAGCACCAGCAGCAGCACCAGCACCAACACCAACAGCACCAGCACCAGCAGCACCAGCAGCACCAGCCGCGUGGCCGCCGCCGCUGCUGGCGCCAGUAGCAGCGCCGCCGCCUCCGUAGCUGCGGGUCCCGGCCGGGGCCGCCGCCUGGUGGCUGCGAGAGGCGAACCCGCCAGCUCCGUCGCCACUACUGGCGCGUGUCGUGCGGCUGCUGUAGUAGCUAGUGCCGGCAGCCACCCCCGCCCCAGCGCCAGCGCCGCCGCCACCAGAGAAGCUAGCAGGCAGCAGCGCGCUUGUGGACGCACUGGCUAAACCGGCUCGCCCGACGGCACCUCCGCUGGCCACGCACCCCGCGGAUGGCCGCGGUGCUUGUGCUGCCAGCCGCUCAAGCCCCGACGCCGCCGAAGCUGCGAGUGGGCCACGACGACCUCCGCCCGCGGGUCCAGCACCCCCUGCUGACGCGCCCCCGUUGCCGCGGCCCCCGCCGCGCCCUCCGUACAUUUCUGACGUACGGCCUGUGCCUCCCCCCGUGCCGCUCACAAAGCUGUCCUCCUCCAGAGUGGGCGAUGCGCAUCGCUCGGGCGGCGGCGGUUGCGGCAACGGCCAACCGUCGGUUGCGCAGGAGGCACCGUUGCCGCCGUUGCUGGCCGGGCCGAAGCCGCCCGCGCCACGCUGACCUCGUUGACUGGCGAAGGAGGCGGAGGAGGGCUGCGCAUCCACCCACGAGUCCCGCGCCGACGCUAGCUGUACGUGGUCGUCGUCGUAACCGUAUGGGUAACCGUUACCGUACGCGUCGUCGUACCCAGCAGUUGAGGCAGCUGCGGCGGGCGCGCGGUGGUUGUUGUGCAGCGGCAGCGCGGGCUGCAGGCCGCCAAAGCCACUGGGAGCCCCCGCCCCCGCCUUGCCGCCGCCACCGCCGCCACCGUUUGACUGCUGCUGCUGUUGCUGCUGGGCGUUGGUCCGGUCACCCAGGGGCCCUGUUGCCACUGCUGCUGCCUGCCUUUGCACCUGCGCCGCAUGUUGUUGCUGCUGCUGGUGCUGCUGUUGGUAUUGCUGGUACUCUUGGUGCUGGUGGUGGUGUUGCAGGACGGCUGUGGCCGCCGCCACCUGCGCCAUCGCAUCCGCCGCCAGCUGGUCGCGCAGCGCCGCCGCCGCAGCCGCCGUUUCCGCACCCAUCACCGCCGCCACCCGCCGCAACUCGCCCUGGUGCGCGUCCCGCAGCGCAACCGCCGCCGCCGCCAACCGCUCCUUGUACGAGGCGUCGUACGUUUCCGUUAGCUCAGCCACCUCGGCGGCGUGCUGCCGCCGUACGGCGGUUAGCUUGGCCUCGUGCUGCGCGCCCGCCGCCGCCAACGCUGCCGCCAGCCGCUGCAGCUCGGCCUGCUGUCGACAGAGCGCAUCCUCCAGCGCAGCGAUCUGAAGCAGCAAUGGAGUGGGACAGGCCGUAAACGCACGUCAGCCCUCCGCGCAUCCAUCUCGAUGCCGGUACGGCAUCAGCGGCUCUUGCCUCUGCCGGAUACUCUGAGCAUCGUCGCGCACCCCAAUCGACCAGCCGCCGAGCCCUCGAUUCCAGGUUUGCCACACCCCGGCCCCUUUGCCCCUGUCCCCCAUGCGUCUUCCUGCUUGGUGACCCAACCGGCCCUCGUCCCUACCCCUCCUCCUGCCCCCACCUUAUCCUCCUGGUCCUCCUGCGCUUGUCGAUGCGCCUGCAGCCGCUGCAGCCGCUCCACCUGAGCCUCCAUCCACUCCGCCGAGCGCCUCAACGCGUCCGCCUCCUCUGCCGUGCGCUUCAGCUGCUGCCGGUGGCUCCGCCCCUGCUCCUGCUCCUGCUGCUCCCGCUCCUGCGUUGAAUGCUGCUCCUGACCCUGGGCAUGGUGCGCCUGCUGCGUCUGCUGAAGCUGCUGCGCCUCCUCCUCCUGGGCUGCCUGCGCUUCCGCUUCAGCCGCGUCGCAGGCGCUCAGCUGCAGCAGCUGCGACUCCAGCUCCCGCACCGCCUCCCGCAGUGCCUCGGCCUCAGACCGCAGGUCCUGUGGUCAUGGCAGAUACAAAUACAUCUAUGAAACGACUAACGGACAGAUACGCCGUAAACGCGUUUGCGUUUGCGCCCUCUACAGCAUCCCUCUUCUAUUGCCCACCAGAACGACUGACUGUGUGUAACUUGGACACACCUGGAAUCACACCCGGGCCCUCGGGACUGACCCCAAACCGCACCUGCAUCUCCUCCUCCCGCUUCGCCGCGGCAGCCUCCACCUCCGCCACAGCCAUCGCCAACCGCGCCUCCGCCGCGCCCUGCGCCGCGGCUACCGCCGCCUCCAGCUCCGCUGCGUGCCGCGCCGCCGCCGCCGCCAGCCGCUCCUGCAGCGCCGCCACCUCCGCCGCGUGCCGCCCUAACAGCGACGACAGCUCCUCCGCAUGCGCCGCCUGCAGCGCCUCUCGCAGCCGUUGCAACUCAGCCUGCGCCGCCUCGCCGCCAGCCUUCCCAACGUCACUGCCACCCCCUCCUCCCGGCAGGCCCACACCACCCGCCUCCGCGGUGACGGCCGCGGCGGCCGCGGCGGCUGUCGCCUCUGCUGCCGCCUUUGCUGCCGCCUCCUGCGCAUGCGCUGACAGGUGGGCCCGCAGGGACUCCACCGCCGCCGCGUGCUCAGCCUGGAGUGCCGCCCGCAGCCCCUCCAGCUCCGCUGCAUGCUGGGCCUCAAGCCGCUGACGCAAGGCCGCCAGCGCGCCCGCCAUUCUCUCCUCCUGCUCCUCCGCUUCCGCCUCCUGACGCCCAACAGCAGCCCCUGCAGAGGCCUCGGCGGCGGCGGCGGCUGUAGCCUGCUGCACAGCUGCAGCCGCAGUAGCCUCCGCUACAGCCAGGUCCCGUAGCUCCUGCAGCUGUAACUGCCACUGCCGCCGCUCCUCCGCAUGCGCCGCCUCCAGCUCCCUCCGGAGCGCCGCCAGCGCCGCCGCCUUCUCGUCUUCCAGCCGCGCCGCCAGCUGCGCCUCCGCUGCCGCCGCCUCCGCCGCCAGCUGCUGCCGCAGUGCCGCCAGCUGCCGCCCGGUGGAGGCGGCGGCCGCGGCGUGGGCGUCCAUCACCGCCGCCGCCACGUCAGCCUCCGCGUCGCCCCGAGCCUGCACCACCGCCCACACCAAGAAGGGUGCCCAGAAUCGAGCUCACUCAGUCGGCCAUGCCCACUGCACGCAACCCUGCGCCCCGGUGGCGGCUACACACCCACAGCCAACCUCACCAGCAACCAGACCGCACGAUCCCGUAAUCCCCUACUCGGCGCUCUGUUGCACACGCACACGCGUUUCGACAAGAACAGUCGCACCUGCGCCAGCUGCUCUGCCAGCCGCUCCGCCCGCUCCCGCGCUGCCUCCAGCUGCUCUCCCGCCUCGUCCGCGGCCCGCUGCAGCUUUGCCACACGGUCGUCCACAUCACACUGCGCGUGUCAAAAUGUCAACAUGCGAAGCUGCAAUGUCAACGCGAGAAUGUGACGUCUCUUGGCCUAGCCCUUGACCUAGCUUUUGGCCUAGCCCUCGGCCACUCUUGCACGUUCCAACGAUACGGUAUCCCCGCCCCUUCCGCCCACGCUCCCUACCUGUGCCGCCUCCAGCCGCCCCCGUAGCGCCUCCGCCUCCGCCUGCAGCGCCGCAUGCGCCGCCGACAGCGCCUCAUAGCGGCCCGCGGCCGACGCAGCCGCAGCGGCCAGAGCCUCGUCGGCCUGUCCGGCGCGGCAGGGGAAACGGCAUGUAGAGCGUGUGGCUGUGCACGCAUGGUUGCCGUGCUUCACGUGACCGCUGUCGGUCGGCGCUGUGAAGAGCAAUGGGUUGGUGCUGUGACACGCGCGUAUGCCCUGCCGUGCUGUGUGCCUGGUUUGUGCCCCCGCAUCAGGCCUGUGCUCACCUGGCGCCGGGCCGCCUCGCGCACCUCCGCCAACGCCGACCGCACGUCUUCCACUGCAAUGUAGCGCCGCGGGUCUGUGGCAGCAGAGCAAAGGCAAACGACAGCCGCUCAUUGCUCUGCCCUGACAGCAACAGCCACUGGAAGGCAAACACACGGCAUCCAAGCCACCCCCUCAAACAAGGAAGGCAUCCAAGCUGCGUAACCAGAAAACGCGCACCUUUGGCGGCCGCCAACUUGGCAUUCAACUCCUUCAGACGCUCGAUCUCCUCGCGCGCCGCCCCCAGCAGCGCGCCCGUCGCGGCGGCUGUAGCAGCUGCCGCCGCCGCUGUGGCGGCAGUAGCAGAGCCGGGCAUGUGCUCAUCCGUCUGCGCCGCCGACUCGGCUGUAGCAGCCCGGCGCGCCUCAAGCCCGCCGUUACCCCGGCCAAAGCCGCCCGCUGCUUGGCCCGGAGGCGAGCCCAGGCCCGAAGGCCCGCGGGAACCAGAGGCCGCCGCCGCUGCAGCUACGGCUGCGCCCGGCUGCUGUCGUUCGUGUGUGGCCCCAUGCUCGUCAUCACGCCCGACCAUCUGCGCCCUCAGCUCAAUAACCCCCUCGCCACCCUGGUCAUCGUCAUCGUCGCUGAACAGCGCAUGCGCCAGCGACCGGGCGGCGUCAGGUCCCAGCGGUGUCCCGCCGGCCUCUGCCUCCUCGCCGCCGUCACCAUCGCCGCCCUCCGUGCCUUCAUCGUCACUGCCGCGGCUCCAGCCCACGUCCCCGCCCGUGCUUUCCCCCGUGUGGCGGCGGCUGGCGCCGCCUUGAGGCGCCGCGCCGCUGGGAGUGGCCACUGCGCCAAAGUCACUGAAGGCGCUCUGUGAGGGCUCGGCGCUGCACCCGCCAAAGCCGCCUCCGGCCUCCAACCCGCCGCCGUCACAGUGCCCGCCGACGUCCACCUGCAGACCCCGCCCGGCCCCUCUCGCAAAGCCGCCAACGCCGUUGCCUUCACGGGGCCUCGCGCCACCGCCGUGCUGCUGGCCGUCCUGGCUGUAGCACUGCCCACCGCCGUGGCUGUAGCAGACGGGGCCGCUGCCGCCGCCGCCGCUGUGCGCCGCCGCCAGCUGCUCCUGCAGUGCCGAUACCAGCCGCUGCAGCCCCUCACAGCGGUCCUGCUCCUGCCCCAGCCGCUCUUCCAGGCACUGCACACUCCGCACAAGCUCCGCCACCCUCGCCGGCCAGCCCAGCCGCCCCUGCUGCUGCGGCGGCCCCUGCUGCUGCUGCUGCGGUGGCUCUGCUCCGUCACUGCGACCGCAGGUGCUGCAGGCGCCUGUGCCGUUGCUACUGCCGCCCUCGCCGCUUGCGCUGGUGCUACUGCCGAAGCCGAAACCGCUGCCACCUGGGGUUGACGCCGCGCUCAGGGCCCCAAUGCUGGCUGCGCCAGUGCUGGAAGCAGCCUGGGUUGCGGCCACCGGGGCCACCUGGGCAGACGCGAAGGUGCCGCUGCCGGCGCCAAAGCCGGGACCGCCGGCUGCUGCAGCUGCCUCGCCGUGCUGCUGCUUGAGCUGUAGCAGUUCCUGCAAGUACGACACCUGCACAUGGGAGAAAGUGCCAGCACGUAGUCCAAGGUCAGUCACAAGCCACAUAGUCAGCGCAUGCAUCACCGGUCAGUGCACACGCCGGUACACGUCCCUGCCCAAUGUCUGUGUGCAUGUACGAUGUCGCAAGGACACAAGAACACUGCGAUGGGCUCUGUUGGCACCGUGGUUCGGUCUGCAUUCACCACCAGUCACUACCCCACCUGGUGCGCUGCCGUCCGUGCCUCCGUCCGUGCCGUCGCGGCCUCCUCCUGCAGGCGUCGCCGCUCCUCCGACGCGUCAGCCUGCAGGAGCACAUGACAAAUGGAGCUUGGUGGUGCCACUUUGCAGCCGUUGCAACACGACUGGCUCAGCAUAAGGCAAGCACGCGGCACCGAAGCCCGACCACUCGGCGCCGCCAAAAAAUAUGUAGUACACCCGUGGAUGUUCGGACCCCAACACCCAGACACCUUGCACAAUACGUAACCUUUCUCUCGCCAACACGCGCCAGCGUGCACGCACGCACACAAACCCACACAUACACACCUGCACUCGGCGAAGCUCCGCAUGCAGCCGCAGAAGCGCCUGGCCCCCGCCACCGCCAGCCGCCACCUCCAACUGCAUUUUUAACCCGUACGGCCGUGUCAGGCAACCGGCAGUGCCAGCAGCUUGGUGGCCAUUUACCGGCGCAGCCCCCCAAGUCUGUAUGCAAACUACUGGUCUUAACCUCUCCUAGACUCCAGCGCCAGCCCUUCGCCCACACGGCAUCUGGACCUCCCGCCCGCCCUCAGACUUGCACUUACGUCCACGUGCUCCUCCAGCGCGGCCUGCAAGCACUCAUUCGCCGCCGCCAGCUCCCGCCCGUCAACCUCCACCGCCGCCAGCGCUGCCGCCAGCCGCCCCCGCGCCGCCUCCGCCUCGACAGCUGCCGCUUGAGCUGCUGCCGCCGCCUCCUGCUGCCGCGCCGCCGCCGCCUCUGCGUUUGCCAGCUUCGCCUCAGCUGCCUCGGCACGCUUCGUGACCACAUCAAGUUGAGCAUGCAGAGCCGCUGCUUCAGACGCAGCCGCCUGCUGGACCUGUCGUUGUUGUACGGUUGUCACAUUGGGCAUGGUAAUGCAUAGGUUCAAUUGGAGUUACAGGGGUCACCUCCCGUGACUCCAUGCCUCAUCCGCACUUGACAGGGAACGGUGCGUGCGCCGGUACGCUUGUACAUACGCGCUGCUCAGCCUGCUUGUUUGCGGUGCUCCCACUCCAAUUGCUGGCCCGGCGAUACGGCGUGUGCGGCGACGGGCCAGCAGCCUCUUUCCGGCUUUGGCCCAACCCCCAGUCCCAUCCCUCCAGCUUGACAACUUGCGGCCCACACGCACCUGCUGCAGCUGCGCCUGCAGCUCCUCACCACCGCGGCCGCGGGCAGUGGCCAUCAGCCGUGCAGCGCCCAGCUCGGCUGUAGAAGAGAGGAGAGGUGAAGGGAUCAGCGCCGCUCAGCCCAAGGCCAAGAUCUCAACCCUGGAAGGCCUUUUGCCUCAACAUACUGUUGACAACGGGAUAUGCAUGCCAAACCCACACGCAGCUUGCAGUCGUCCCUCAGUGGAGGACGGAGUCCCCUCAGGUGCCCGCUCGCAUCCAAAGCUCCUUACAUGCCAGCCGCUCCCGCUCCGCCGCCGCCGCCUCCAGCGCCGCCGUCGCGUCCCGCUCCGCCGCCGCCAGCCGCCCGGCCAGCGUGGUCACUUCUUGCUGAAGCAGCCCAAUCUGGGAGAGGGCGCAGCGAGAGCAGAUAGAGUAGGAGGGGUGAAGACGUCGACGUUGUAGGUUGCACCGGGGGUACGGGAAGGCUCCUGGCCAGCCCGAUACAAUGUCGACACAUGAGCCACGGCCAGCUACAUGAAGAGCAGCGCAGCGUUCUUCGCUGUCUGGUCCGUGUUUUGUGUGAGUAGCGCUGCCCGCUGCCCUGGCUUUCGCACCUGUCCCAGUCUCGCCGUAAGGUCCGACUGCAGCUCCGCCACCACCGAGCCCUGUCAUGAUAUGGAGCGGCAGGUGCAGAGGCGGCUUGGGCGACAGGCUGCUGAGCGCAAGUGCUGAAGAGUGGAUAUGCGUACGCACGUCGAGCACGAGAUGUACGCUGCGGCCCUUCCCUUGCUCGCUCAACCUUUGCCCAGACCUUGUGCAGGCCCCGAGGCCCGCCAAGCAGAGUCCGCGUCCCCAUCCCUACACCUCUACAGCCACCCCGCCCGCCACCAUUACCACCAGAGGCAGCCCCCACCUGUGCCAGCGCCAGCCGGCCCUGCAGGUUGCCCCCUAGCAGCGCCACAUCCCGCCUCAGCGCCUCCACCUCCGCGCCCAGUCCCCAGUUGUCGCGCUGCAGCGCAGCCACGUGCGCCGUGGUGUCCUCCGCCUGUGCGAUCAGGUGCCACGUGUGAGCGUGUGGGUUCGCGUGGUGUCAGUCGCAUUUGCGAUGGAGCAGGUUGGUUCGGGCGAGUGGAAAGGGCUGGCACUGCGUUGCGGGUGACUUGGGGCUGUGAACUCCGGGCGCAACACGCGAAGCGGCAUACACACCUACCCCAGCCCGCCCGAAUGUACCACACCUGCUGCGCCGCCCCCGCGGCCCGCCGCUGCGCGGCGUCCAACGCCUCCCGGAGCUCCGAGUACUUGCGCUGAAGGCGCUCGAAGUCAGUGCUGGGCGGCAGCGUCUGCCAUCCUAGGUGAGUGCCGUGCUCGGAGCCGCUUGCACCGCUUGCCGCGCAGGUCGGUGAUGGUCCCAUCGCUGGAUGCGCAUCCUGUCCCUGGUAUCCGCUGCUCGCAAAGCUGUGUUCAGACGCUGCUUGCGGUGGGAGAGUCUCUGUUAAUCGAUGCACGAUUUUCGCGUCACCAGCAUCGCCAGCCCAGCGGUGACCACCCCACGGCGAGGGCGUUGAGUUCGCCGGCAUUCUGUAGGCUUGAAUUUCUGGUGGUUGCUCAGUGCCCGCGCGUGCCGAGCUGGGUUCGGCUGUCACCAGCCUCGGCUGUCCAAAGGCAGAUGGCCUGAACGUCCAGCCAAGGCUUGACGCAGGUGGGAGCUCCAUAUUCAAAUCCGUUAACGGCUAGACCGCAAAAGAGCAGGAGUUGGGUCUGCGUCGCGGCAUUUUGACUGCGGCUCACAACCUCGCUAUACGUCAGCUUUAGGAGGAAAUUACAUAUAGUGUGCUAAAUUGGUAUAUGCAGCAAUUUGAUAAGAUUGCGAGAGCGCCGGGCAGGUGGGCAGGUGGCGAUCGGUUCGGUGGCACCGUCGUCGUUUGGUUCAGUUUGGUUCAGUCCCUUGGUCGGGGUCUUGGGGACAGGUGAACAUCCAUGCGCGUCAGGUAUGGAAUUAUCUCAAGAGGAGCGAUGUUGAAAGCCAAGGGUAACGUGAGGCGCAAAGGUAGACCUGAAAGGUCGCAGGCCCAAUGAUCCGGCACGAACCCGAGAUGGGGGCCCGCCCUGUGACCGGUGAGACCGGGUUAAACAUGUUUGUGUGCUCCAUAAGGCUUGCGAACACUUGCAUGACACCAUGAUACGUUCCUGAGCAAGAAGGGCAGCCCGCGCAGCUGUGACGCUCCUCCAUCUUUGUCAAAGCGGCGAGCCUGUUUCUGGCCGCAUGCCAUAGUGUUUAAUUUGAACACUGAGAUAUCGUUAUGCCAUUAAAUACAAGAUUGUAACUGAGCUCGGACACUGGCUCCAGCGAACGCGUCUCGCGAAAUGCUCUACUGGCCUGGCGCCAUCUGUACGCAACUGCAGAACUAGAGUUUUUGCGUGAUAUCAGGCUCAGAACUCUAUUCUAAGAGGUGACAACAAGCGUAGAAGAAGGUCACGCUCAGGACCGCUGCGCUGCAGAACACCCUCAACAUGUCGGAACGGAGCCACACCGGUGUGAACCCUAACCCCGGCACCGCCCCGGCACCCCAGGACCUUCCACCGCCGCCCGCCGGGCAGCUGACCACGCAGCUUCACGGCUUGGCUCUAGAUCUCCAGCUGCAAUCACAGUCGCAACUGCCGCCUCCCUCACAGCAGCCUGGGGAAGGGGACGCGCCGUCCCCCAUGGACAACAUCCCCACGUCAGGUGCCCAACACCCCGGUCCCGGGCCCAGCUCAGGCGCAGCUUCCCCCACCUCCACUCACGCCGCCCGCUGCCCCUCUAGGGUAUGGAUCCCAGACAUUGUUGACCGGAUCGCAGCUUUCCUGCCGCCCAACGAGAUCCCGGCGUCUGUCCGACUGGUCAACCGCGCAACAGCCAGUCAAUUCGGGCGAGAUCGGCGCCACGUCACCCUUGUGGCGACCGAGCCAGUGCCCCCGCACGCCUUCAAGCGGCAGUGGGGGCACCCGGGGGGCGGGGCGGCGGUGCGGGCAUUGAGCCGGGGCAGCCGGCAUUUGCUGGUCACGGCCACGGCACGCACCGGCGUGUUGGAGAACCUGCAGGUAGAGCCAGGAGUCGGCUGUAGGCACCGAGAGGGGCGGGAGCUGUCUGUGGGAAGGUUCUGUAGAUGCAGUGGCAUGGGGGUUUGGGGCUCAUGCCCUAGCCACGGGGUGGGUAAGGCUUACACACACACACACGCACGCACGUACACACACACACACACGCACACGCACACGCACGCACACACACACACACACACACACACACACACACACGGGGCCGCCUGCCAUAAUUGCACAAUCACGUAGCGUACAUGCGCGCGUGCAACGCCACACGAACACUCACGCGCAGGCCUUCACAAACAGACCUUCACGCCCGCGCCGGCAUCAUCGUGUUGCCGCGCCCCGCACAGGCGCUGCUGGCCUGGGAGCAGUACUUCCCGGCCACCUGCGCGCUGAUGGCGGACGCGGCGGCGGGCGGCCACGUGGGCGUGUGCGAGUGGCUGCGGAGGGAGGCGGGCUGCCCGCUGCCCAGCCACUGCCUGCCGGACGUGGUGUGGAGGUGAGGGGCGGGGGAGGUGGGGGUUGUAAUUACCAGCCCAAACUAAACCAAACCCAACUAAGACGAGCGGGAGGGAGAGGUGGGGGCGGGGGAGGGGAGGGCGGGGACAAGGGCUCGGGGGGAUCUGCCCGUGCGGCUACAUGCAGCAUGCUCCGAAGCAGCCAUGAAGAAAUUGUGGACGAGGGCGACGGUGUGGCGGCGUUGCGGAGGAGAGGUCAGGGGUCGGAGGUGUUUACCUUACCAAACCGCUUCAGCUUCUCCGGCUGCCCGCCUUGACUGCCCCCUACCUGACUACCCUCUGGCUGCCCCCCGUACUUGACUACCCUUUGACUGCCCCCGGCCCCGACUGCCCCCGGCUCCGACUGCC